AGCAAGCUGCACAUGCCAUGCACCAUACGCCAUACAAAGACAUUUUAAUCUCACUUAAAAACCCACGGUGCAGCCUCGUAUCAUGACCUUUAGACAUUGAAAUGCUGGUAAUUUCUCAAAAUGAGAAAACCAGGUAGUUAUAAUUGUUAUGACGGUGUUACCACAAUAUUUUGUCCUGUGAGUGCCUGUCAUAGGAUCAAAAUGAAUGGACUGUCAGCUGAUUUCUGUGUUCAAACUUGUAUCUGAUAACCUGAUAACCUCACAGAAAACCAAACCCCUUGGUGCUGUUGGUGUGAGCAUUGCACUUAGAGUUUCCUACCUAAUAAUACUUAAUCUGACUUCUGUUUCGCCAAGGCUGCACAAUUGAUCAUCUAUGUUUCUAUACCGCAUUCCACACCCCGUUCUAAUGGGUCACUGAGAUUCCUUUGGACGCACUAAUGUUUGUCCUUCUUCAGGAUCAAACAUAGCAUCAGGGCACUUGUCUUUUCAAAGGGCGGCCGCGGACUUCCUGAAUGAGGGCGUGGAACUUUGGGAAGCUAACAUAAAUGUGAGUUCUACAGAAGCCCUGCAGACAAGGGUUAGUGGGGAUUGCAAGGUGCUUGGUGUGGCUUUGUGCAAUCUUGGUUGCCCCUUUAUGGACCAAGAUUUUGCAGGGUGGCCUCGAUUCAAGGAAGUGAGGUGAUUGGUCGCAUGGUGUGAUCCUGAUAUCUCUCAUGUGGAUAUCUUCGAUGCAAGUUGAGGGAUAGCUGCUGCAAGGCGAUCUCGGCUGCCAGUCGGGGACACCUUGUGACUAGGUAGGUCAGGAGAGUUGCUGCUGCAUUGGAUCGUGUAGGUCGAAAACGUGCAAUGUACUCGUUGCUGGCGGAAAGACUGCAUAGUUGAGGCUUCAGUACUUCAGAUUGCUUUACAUCAUGUGUGUAGAGCUCACUUUCCUUGUUUAGAUUGUUCGUAUGAAACACUCAAUUUGCCAGUGUAGUUUCCGUAUAUAUCAUUGUGAACAUAGAUAUAAGCUGAUGGACAAAAAGAACGUGUGCGGCAUCCAUGUUUUUUUUUUCUGGAACCGCUGACAGGGAUGCAGGCUAUUUCUCACCCAAAGAUAGCAGCCAUCCAAGUUCAAAUCGAUGAGGGAACCUUACUGCAGUGUGAUGAUUUGUGAUCGUAGUCAUGCUAGCAAGCAGAAACGAAAUUGUGAUAAUAAUAAUGUAUAUAUGCAGGUUGCGUGAUGGCGUCGUGCCCGGCACGGAAUGCGUGGAGGUUUGCUGCACUAGCACUACUGAAGUGAUGAGGGAGAAGUGGGAGACGACAUGGCAAACACGCUGUGUUGUGUUGGUCAUUGAAGUUCCCUCUCUAUUGUUCUCGUACUUCUUCCGUCCGAAAAUACUUGUCAAAGAAAUUAACAUAUCUAGACGUAGUUCCGGCCAAAGGGGUACUAUAGGAUCUUCUGUCCUGCAUAUGCCAUAUAUGCAAUCUGCUAGCUCAACGGCGGUAGUUGUCUUUUAGGCCUUGUACAGUGCAAGAAAUAAAUGUUUUUCAAGCAUAGAUGCUUAUUUUAUAGAGGUAUGGUAGACACUUAGGCAUCCCCUCUUGUGUAAAGAUAAAGUAUUGAUGCUUAAGCAAAACUUGGUUCACUUUUUUUAGGGACACUUGUAUUAUGCUUUGGAUAUAAGAUGCAAGAAAAUAUAAAGUAACUCCAGUGACUAAGAAUUACAAUAUAUCUCUUGGAAACAUCUCAAGACUUCAGUGAGCAGCGAUACUUUCACUCUUUCGCUCACACGAAAUUGAUUGCCAAUGAAGGUUUCUCAGCCCCAUGAGCCGUCCACCCAGAAAGAUGGGAAGCCUUGAGUGGCUGGCUGGGAUGAACCUUUGAAAAUCUGUGUCGCCGAAUCUUGUGAUCUUCACUAUGAUGUUGAGGAAAAAAUUUCAACUCCACACAUAAUCAAAUCAAUGACAACAACUUGACAGAAUAAGAUAAUUCAUCACCGAGUAAUUGAAUGUGCCAGAAAAAACCCUCUCUAGCUUUAUGGCACCGCCAAAAAAGGACGAGAGGAACUUUAUUCUCAUAAAACUAUGUUCACUAAACACCAACGAAGAACAUAUAAAACUCCUAAAAUCAGAAGACCCUAACACUAAGGUGACUGCCGAAGGCGAGGGAAGCAGAAGUAUAUGCAGCGGCGGCGGUCCUUCUCUCAAGAAACCCUCAUGUACAUAUCUAGAUUCGGUUCAUUUUAUUAAGCAUCUUACAUUAUACAAGGUGCCGAGAAAAGAAAAUAGGUACACCUAAUACUCGGCUGCAGGAGAGCAUUUCCGAAUAGGAAACUGUUCACCCUCCCACCAGACCAGCGGAACAAAGGAAAUAAUCGAUUUCCUUCACUGAAAUAAAAUCCCUCAUCUUACUUUUCUUGUCUCCUCUCUCCCGUUCUAUCCCGUGAGUUGACUUAGUUUUGCUCACCACAAGAAAUUAGACGGCCUCUACAAUCCGAUCAGAAUUCGGCUUCAACCUGAUUGAUCGAUCGAUCUAGGCCGGCUCUCCGCUCUGCAACUGCGUCCCUGGCAGGUAACGAAUUCCCCGUGCUAUCCCAGCCAUUGUUUGCAGUAGCUCAUACGCGUCACCGGCGUGCAGCUGAGGCCGCAGCGAGAAGCUGAACGCCGCGCCAUGGAAUUGGAGGCUCCGGUAGUCGAAGCAGAUCCGGGGAGAAGGAUCACAAGAGGAGCAGGAGGCGGCGGCGGCGGCGGCGAGGGGGAGGGCCCGGUUGGUCGGACCACCCUCCUGCCCUGCCCCAAUUGCGACAUCCAGGUGGUGCACAAGCUGGCGCAGCUGCUGCUCCCGGGCCUGGCCGCGGCGUGCGUCGACAGCACCCUCGGGAGCCCCUCCUCCUCGCUCGCCGUCCAGCUGCGCGCGGAGCUGGUGCGCUACGUCGCGCACCGGAGCAGCACCCCGGCCGGGGCGGAGGAGGAUCAGGAUCCGAUCGACCGCGACGACCCGGCCGAGGCGCUGGCCGUGUUCCUGGACGACUUCGCGGGCAGCAAGAGGAGCGUCGCCGUCUCCAUCGCCGGCUGGCUGCCGUACCUGGGCGGCGGCGACGACGGCCGCGACGACCGGAUCGACGACCUCGUCGAGGAGAUGGAGGCGACCCGCUUCUGGCCGGUCGAGCGGCGGGAGGCCGUCGCGCGGGACCUCCUCCGCGGCCUGGACGCCGGCGGCGGCCGGUUUCGCUGCCGCGAGGAGCUGGGGACGCCGGAGGAGCUCGCGGACCACGUCGCCAGGCGCUGCGGCUUCAGGCCCGUGCGGUGCCGGAACCACGCCCAGGGCUGCCGGGCCGAGGUCUCCGCCUGCCGCGCCGACGCGCACGACGAGGCGUGCGCCUUCAAGCUCCUCCCCUGCGAGCAGCGCUGCGGCCUCGCCGUCGCCCGGCGCCAGAUGGACCGGCACUGCGUCACCGUCUGCCCCAUGAAGCUCGCCAACUGCCCCUUCUUCCAGCUCGGCUGCGAGUCCGCCUUCCCGGCCUGCAAGCUCGGAUCGCACUGCGCGGAGUUCCUUCGGCCACACCUCCGCCUGCUCCUUAGUCCGAGCAAGAUCGGCGCUGAUCGUCUGGAUCCGGAGGAGCGUCUUCUACGGCUGGAGAAGGUGUCCAUCUCCUCUCUUCUACUCUAGUUUUCUAACAUUGCUUGCUUAAUUUAUUGGUAAAAUACUGGCAAAACUGAUGCUACUCUAUGUAUGUUUCAGUAUGAUUCCGAUGGUGCGUUGGGCGAAGCUUUGGACGUGAGGUCUCUCACUAACGCUCUUGCUCAGCUAGAGAAGAAGAUGAACGCUGAAGAUGGUUCCCCCGGUUACACCGGAGACGACAACAAAGAAGCAGUGCCCACGCAAGAUUCCAACUCCGCAGCUCUGCACUAGUUUCGUUCCCUGAUGCAGAUUUUUUUUGGAAAAAAGGCAUUUUUGUUUCGUAUAUACUCCCUCUGUACCAUAAUAUAUAUGUCGUUUUAACAGUUCAAAUUUUGAAUUGCUAAUGGUACGGAGGGAGUAUUUUUGGAAAGCACCACACCUUUUUUUGAACAACCGGCAGAAGCGUUGUCCUUUUAUUCAGCAGAACAUAGAAUUUGUACAAAAAACGAUGGUCCCAUUAUUUAAGCAGUUUAUACAAGGUUUGCGGAAAGUUUAAGUGCUACAACCUAGGGUUUAUGCUCUCAGCAUUAUUUGUCUCGAAUGCUUCGCGCUGGUAGUAGUCCAAAGUGAUGCCUCUUUCUUGAUGACAUCAAGUAGCAUUGUUGUUGUUCAGAAAAUUCUAGCAUUUUCUCGUUUGAAUUCAUCCAAGAAAUGACCAUGUUGUGGGAGGCAAUGGCCUUCCAUUAGGCUUGUUGUUGUUCACUUUGAUCCAUCAUUCUUCGAGCGAGCACACUUAAGAGGAGUUUCGAUGGCAUCAAGGCGUAGCCACUACUUGGUCAAGUUCUAAAGCCUUAGGGUGAAUCCACACUAGAAGAGAAGAUUGCCGUAGAUUUUUGCACUCUCUUGCACAAGGGGCAAAGGCCAUGAUUUUGCCAACUUCGCUUGGCUGACUGAUCGGCGGUCCAAGUUUUAUUCUAACUAUGCAAAAAGGUUGGCCUUUGGCAGCGCCCAUGCACCCACAUUGAACUCUUCAUGGACGAAUGUGUCGAGCCGCUGUAUUGUGUGUUGUAUGCUGUGGCUUCCGAGUAGUGACUGCUUUCUGUGUGUUUCCACACAAUCCAUCCUUGGUGUCUGCACUGAGUUGAAUUUCACGAAAGCAUGCACAAAGUAAGACGUACUUAUGGAAGUGUUCCAUGGAUAGGAGGGAACUAAUUUUUAUCUUGUGGAUCCAUGCAUGAUCCAUCAUGGCUUCCCACACUUUCCAAUUCUUCCCCAGUGAGACCACGUAGAUGAGGGUGGGGGGCAAUGUCCUUUGCCUUUUUAUCGUUAAGACACAGGGAGUCACAAAAAGGGGCACAAGCGCCAUUACUCAUUGUGAUGGUGGUAGAAGAAUAUAAUAGGUCAAGUCCGCCUCAUCGCACGGGUUCCCCAUGCCCACCCACAUCCUUGAAGAUUAUUUCUAUUCAUACCAUGGCCAUCUCAAUCUUAGAGUAUAGGACANNNNNNNNNNNNNNNNNNNNNNNNNNNNNNNNNNNNNNNNNNNNNNNNNNNNNNNNNNNNNNNNNNNNNNNNNNNNNNNNNNNNNNNNNNNNNNNNNNNNNNNNNNNNNNNNNNNNNNNNNNNNNNNNNNNNNNNNNNNNNNNNNNNNNNNNNNNNNNNNNNNNNNNNNNNNNNNNNNNNNNNNNNNNNNNNNNNNNNNNNNNNNNNNNNNNNNNNNNNNNNNNNNNNNNNNNNNNNNNNNNNNNNNNGUUACCCAAUUAAUCACAUUUGACGCCAAUUGUUUUGUCGGUACCCGACCACAAGAAAGCCCUCUCAACCUUCUGAGUCCUCUCAUUUAUCCUAGACAACCUCAAGCCCCAAUUCCAUAUCUUAUGUACUCAAUUCGUAUUGUCAUUGUACACCCAAAAGGGGGAGAUUGAAAGUGCAACUUUAUCCUUAAGUGGGUUUUGGUGUAUAUGACAAUAUAAAUUGACGAGUAACCUUGUAUGUUGAGUAUAUAUAUGAUGGGUUAGUCCAAAGGUUGAACGCAAAGAUGGUUGUGGACCCCUCAAUUAUCAAAGAGAGAAGCAGCUUUUGUCAGCCCUGCUGGGAUGCAAAUCAUUCAAGACGUGCAGGGAUGCAUUCGGCUUGCCCAGAAAAUGGGCUAUAAGUAAUGAGAAAUAGGCUGUAAAUUUUUAGAACACAACAAAUCGGCAAUUAGUUUCAAAUUUCAUUUUUUGAAUUCCGAGAUUUUAAAUUUCAUUGAAACUUUUGCGGGGAAUAUUUCAUUGGAUUUUAAAUUAAUAUGGUUAAAUCUAACUCAAAAUUUUAGGAUUAAAAACCUCUCGGACCCCACUGAAAUAUGCAAAAUUUCGUUGAUUGUUUUUACCAUGGCUAGAAUAUAGGCUGUAAUGCUAACAUAAAUAAUCUGGGCUUAAAAAAAUUCUGAAGAAUUAGCAAAUGAGCCAUAUACUGGGAACUCCCCAAAAAUUUCCACGCCCUCACUUCUACCAUGAUUUUUAUGUCAUGGACAGUCUAAAGAAUGUCAUGCAGGUGCGUCUCCUGCUCGCCCAGGACGAAAUACCCAUUUUCUAUCAUAUUUUUUUGUCAUAGAAGUAGGAGCCCACCACAUCUAUGAUGAUAUGUGUUUUUGUCACAUUUAUCUUCAUAGAAGUGUCAUAACCGUGACAGAAAAAGUUUCUGUUCGGGCCAUAAUGUCAUGGAUGUGUCUUUUUUUUGUAGUGAAAGAUAUAAGUGAAGCACAUAGAGUAUUCUAACAAAUCAUGAUAAAUAUAUGUAUCCCUCAAAAGGUGUGUCCAACAAACAAUGAUUGUGGCAAACUAACAAGCAAACAAAAUAAAACUAUAACACAAGACGCUCCAAGUAAAACGCAUAUCAUGUGAUGAGUAAAAAUAUAGCUCCAAGUAACAUUCCAGUGAAUUGUAGAUGAAAGAGGGGAUGCCAUCUGGGGUAUCCCAAAUCUUAGACGCUUGGGUCUUCCUUGAAUAUUACCUUGGCUGCCUUGGGAAUCCCCAAGCCUAUGGUAUUUUCGCUCCUUAUUCCUUCAUCCGUCGUGAUCUCACCAAAAACUUGAAAACUUCGGUACACAAAACUCAACAAAACUUUGUGAGAUCCAUUAGUAUAAUCAUCAAAUCAUAAAGUUUAGGUAAAAUCAUUCAUAAUUGUUCUUGCAUAAUAAUUACUAUAUUCUAACUUAUCCAUGACUUAUACCCCCGAUUAAUCCACAACAUCAUUAAAAUAAGCACAUAAUGCAAUAAAAACAGAAUCUGUCUAAAACAGAACAGUCUGUAAUGAUUUGAACAAAAACCAUACUCCUGUAGCUCUUAAAAUUCUGAAAAAUUAGGAAAAUGUGGGUAAUUUGUAUAUCAAUCAUGUGUGAAAUUUUUAGACCAAAUCACAUUCUAGUAAAAAAAAUGUAAAUUCCUGCACUGGAUGCAAAACUUUUAGUUUUUGCACAAAAUCAAGUCAACCAUCAUCUAAACCAUCCCAAAGGCUUUACUUGGCACAAACACUAAUUAAAAGAUAAAAACACAAUCAUUACAGUACCAAUAAUCAUGUCCUCACACAAAACAGAAAUAAAAUAUAGACAUUUAAGAUAACUAUUUGGUUGCCUCCCAACAAGCGAUAUUGUUUUAUGCCCCUAGCUAGACAUAAUGCAUAGUUUCAACUAUUAUCAUCUUUGGAUUACAAAUCCUCAAUUAUACAUCCAGACUUUCUAGGAGAUUUGGAAAACAUAUUUUUAAGAAUUACACUCGUAGGAACAAAAUUGAGGAAUUUGUUUUCAGUAAUAGGUUCCUUUAUCAUAUCGAUGAAGUUGGGUUGCACGCUAAUCAUUUUGAGAUCCUAUUUCUCUUUACUAGAAGGGGCACCCUUAUUUCUAAGAACAUACAUAAGCUUAGAAUUUUUAUUUGUGGGAAUCCUCUCUAUAGUUUUAAUGGAAGAAAUGUUGAACCCAAAUUAUUAAUGAUUUCUUCCAAUUUAUAUAUUGUAGCAGGACUCACUAUAGGAAUCAGCUUAUUUGCUGUCUGCCAUGGCACACGAUAAACGCACCAAAAGCGGAUGACAAAGCCCUUUGCCGUCUGCCACCGACGGCAAACCAGCCUGGCAAAGAGAGUGACGGUAAACAACCUCUUUGCCGUCUGCUUCCCCAAAGCAGACGACAAAGGCCCUUUGCCGUCCAUGGCAGACGACAAAGAACAUGGACAAUAAUUAACAGGCAUUAGCCACGUUAGGUGGCUAACGACAGUCUUUGCCGUCUGCCAGUGGACGACAAACAUGUCCUCCCCUUUGUCGUCCGCCACAGAGGGCAAAGUAACCAAAUGGUAUAGCUCCCAGGUUGCACGGGUAGCUGCCACGUGGCCUCUUUGUUGUCUUUGGCAGACGACGAAGAGCCCUUUACCGUUGGUGGCAGACGGCAAAGAGGCUACAUUGCCUCUUUUUUUCUUUUGUUUUUUCUUAUAUCCAAGCAAUUUCACAGUAAUAUAUAGCCGGUCUAUUCUGCUAAUAUUAGUAGAAUAAUUAUUCUGAUAACACUUCCGCACUGCACGCUCAACGCGAGGGCACUGCAUCCCCUAUCAAACGAGCAUUGCAAUGUCACUAGGAAAAACUGCAUGCACUUUUUGGCAUUGCUUUUGCUCUAGUUUCUAAACUGUUUGUCGGGACGAGGUGUAUAAUAUAUCGUUGGAUAGCUAUGGAAAAUGCGCAGCCUCAUAAUGUUGAACACUUUUCGAGAUUCAUCGCGGUUUAAGAGCAAUUUUAAAAACAGUGCGCGCAUGACGGGAUGCAACGAGCGUAUUUUCACGAUUUUUUCUAAACCGCACAUCGGAAUGAAGCAAACGAUACGGUGUUGGAAAGAUAUCAUCGAGCCGCAUCUUUUUUAUAUUUAUUAUUUUCUCUAAUUUGUUACAGUUUAAGAUCAGUUUCAAAUUUACUAAAUCGCGGAAUUCUGUUUUUCAAUUUUUUUCAAAUUUUCGAUAUUGUUUUCACUCCAGUUUUUUACCGUUUGUCGAAAAGAGGCGUGUAAUAUACCGUUGAAAAGAUAUGGACGAGGCGCAACUUUCAUAUGUUGAAAUAUUUUUGAGAUUCCUUACGGUUUUUAGUUAAUUUUGAAAAUCGUGUGGCUGACGACGAGAGGCAGUGGCCAUUUUUCGCGAAAUUUUUACAAAGCACUGAGCGGAAUGAUUCAAAUUAUAUGCCGUUGGAAAGAUAUCGUCGAGACACAACCUUUUCAUGUAGAACGCUCCCUCUAAAUCCUUACGGUUUAAGACCGAUUUGAAAAUUACCGAAACGCGGACACUCUGUUUUUCGCGACACCCAAAUCGCCGACUGAACCGCAAUAGACAGAGGAACACACUGCAUCAGACUGAAAACCGCACUGCUUUAGACAGACAAGCGCACUGCAUGAUUUAUUUUAUUCAGAAGUAUUUUUCUUGGGCGAGAAAGUUGACCACGCUUCACAUCGGGCGGAAGUGGACCGCUACACCAUUGAGAAGUGAACCACAUUACUUUUUCUCGUUUUUGUAACAAUUUUUCGCACUUCACGAUUGGGAGCAAGUGAGCCGCGACAUUAUGGGAAGUGAACCACAGGGACGAGACGAGUUGACUGCAUGUCUUUUUACCUUGGAUUUUUAAAAAAAUUAUUGAAUGUUUCUUUUUGUCUUUUUUUCACUCUCUCCGAGAGGAGACUAAUGAAGUGUAUUUUUAUACAAUUUUUUUGGCGUUCCGAACUGCAUCAGACAAAUUUUUUAGCGAAGUAAACGAGUGCCUUACAAACCCACGCAUCGAACAGAAAUAGAAUCGCCAGAUCUGACAUUACAAAUGACUUCUAUGGGCCAUGCCGGGCACUCAAAUAUGUGCACGAACCAAGGCUGGGAUGACUAAUCAACAGAGUACACCACCAGGAAACUCCCAUUCAGAGGCCACAAUACAUCGACAUUGUGCAUCAUAGAGAUAGUUAGCAUCAUGGGGUCAUGCGAUGAGAGCAAAAUAGUCAAUGUGCACACAACUACACAAGUUUGCAAAUCACCUUCUUUCCAGGACCAGGAAAUCGCUCUUUACAAUGGGAAUGGGUGGCGUUCUGCUUGCACCCACACUUUGGACUGCAUGGCGCCGGUGGGGCGUGCUACGCGCACCCACGUACUGGACUACAGGGCGUCAACGGGGGAAGGGGGUGCAGUUGAUCUCGGAUGGGUCAACACAUCUACCGGUGAACUGCAGUGCGGAAGGGUGAUUUAGCACUGCACUGCACAUCCAACCAAGCUGCACAAAGACGGGGCCAUGACCGACCUGCAUGAGGGCCGCGACCGAGCUGCACAAGCCCUCGUCGCCAUGCCGUUCACCCCCGAUUUUGUUGCUACAGAGGAGGGUUUGUGGGGUGGUGAACUCACCUUCGAUCCAGUACACCUAGACGCUCAGCGGACUUCUCCCCUGCUGGCAGGAGUCAAGGACUCCCAAGGCAACAUGUAGGACCUUAAGAAGAGGUGUCUAGAGGGGGGGUGAUUAGACACUAAGUACCAAAGUUGCGAUUUUUAAGAUCUUUAAGUUUAAGUGGAGUUUAGGCACAAGUUUAACAUUCACAAUACAUAACAAGCAAGCAUGCAAAGAGUAUAUGAGCAGCGGAAAGUAAAGCAUGCAACUUGCAAGAAUGUAAAGGGAAGGGUUUGGAGGAUUCAAACGCAAUUGGAGACACGAAUGUUUUUGUCGUGGUUCCGAUAGGUGGUGCUAUCGUACAUCCACGUUGAUGGAGACUUCAACCCACGAAGGGUAACGGUUGCGCGAGUUCACGGCGGGCUCCACCCACGAAGGGUCCAUGAAGAAGCAACCUUGUCUAUCCCACCAUGGCUGUCGCCCACGAAGGACUUUCCUCACUAGCGGUAGAUCUUCAUGAAGUAGGCAAUCUCCUUGCCCUUACAAACUCCUUGGUUCAACUCCACAAUCUUGUCGGAGGCUCCCAAGUGACACCUAGCCAAUCUAGGAGACACCACUCUCCAAGAAGUAACAAAUGGUGCGUUGAUGAUGAACUCCUUGCUCUUGUGCUUCAAAUGAUAGUCUCCCCAACACUAAACUCUCUCUCAUAGGAUUUGGAUCUGGUGGAAAGAAGAUUUGAGUGGAAAGCAACUUGGGGAAGGCUAGAGAUCAAGAUUCAUAUGGUAGGAAUGGAAUAUCUUGGCCUCAACACAUGAGUAGGUAGUUAUCUCUCAGAAAAUGCAUGCUGGAAGUCUAGGUUCAGUUUGAUGGCUCUCUCCACGAACGAAGAGGAGGUGGAGGGGUAUAUAUAGCCUCCCCACAAAAUCUAACCGUUACAUGCAACUUGCCAAACUCGGUGGGACCGAAUUGAUAAACUCGGUCGGACCGAUUUAGCAAAUCUAGUGACCGUUAGGAUUUUCGGUGGGACCGAUAUGCAACUCGGUAGGACCGAUAUGGUUAGGGUUAGGGCAUAACGUAAUCUCGGUGAGACCGAUUACACAAACUCGGUUGGACCGAUUUUGGUAAUUAGCUAACCAGAGAGUUGGUCAGGCAAACUCGGUUGGACCGAUUACACAAACUCGGUGGGACCGAUUUUGGUAAUGAGUCUACCAGGAAGUUUGCAUUGUAAUCUCGGUAGUACCGAUUGCUCAAACUCGGUGAGACCGAAUUUGGUAAUGGACACACACAGAGAGAUUACAAUCCCAUCUCGGUGAGACCGAGAUCCCUAUCGGUGAGACCGACUUGCCUAGGGUUUGUGGCAGUGGCUAAGACAAUUGAACUCGGUGGCGCCGGAUAGAAAGAAUUGGUGGGGCCGAGUUUGACUUUAGGUUUAGGUCAUAUGUGUGGAAAUGGGAAAGUAGUUGAGGGUUUUGGAGCAUAUCACUAAGCACUGUGGAGCAAGAAACUCAUUAAGCAACACCUCAUCCCUUCUUGAUAGUAUUGGCUUUUCCUAUAGACUCAAUGUGAUCUUGGAUCACUAAAAUGUAAAAUGAAGAGUCUUGAGCUUGAAGCUUGAGCCAAUCCUUUGUCCUUAGCAUCUUGAAGGAGUUCCCACAUCCUUUAGUUCAUGCCACUCCAUUGUUGAACUUAUCUGAAACAUACUAGAUAAAAGUGUUAGUCCAACAAGAGAUAUGUUGACAUUAAUUACCAAAACCACCUAGGGAGAACUUGUGCUUUCAAUCUCCCCCUUUUUGGUAAUUGAUGACAACAUACAUCAAAGCUUUAGAUAAAGAUAUAAAGAAUAGCAAGUAAAGCUUUGGAAAGACAUGUAACAAGCAUAGGCUCCCCUUACAUGUAUGCAGUCAUGUGAAUAUGGAAUAUAGAGUCAUGUGAGAGCAUAACCAUGAUAGAGUGGGCAAUGUGUUACAUGUAUCUUGGCCAUAUGCAUCAGAGCAAAGAAUAUUAAGGAAAAUACCUUCAUGCUCAUGAGUCCUUCUUGCAAACAGUAUGUACAUCAGCAAGAAUUCCUCAUACACAUGGUUGUGAUGCAUAUACUUACCUUGUAGUCUUGAGUUGGCUUAGGAUGGAAUGAACCUGCGUAAACAAGGUUAGAUAACACAGAUACAUCUACUAGCCAGAGCAAACAGAAGAGACUACAAGAAUACCAAUACUGGGAUGACAUGUAGAGAGUGAGUACUAAGUACCACAUUAGAUUAGACAUGUCCCCAAGAGUAAAGAUAUGCAAUGAAUUUUAAAAGAUUUCUUUCCCUUAGAUGUCUUGCUCCCCCUGAAUCUAGCAUGGGAUAUUGGGAGAAGAUAGGGAACAGAAAAUCAGAGCUGAAAGAUAUAAAUGAACAGAGCUAAUGCAAGCUAAUGCAAAUAAAAAUAAGCACAUAUGAACAUGUCUUUUCCCCUCAAUAAGACAUGUGGCAUCUCUCCUCUUGAACACCAAUCAUCUGGGAUCCUUGAGAAAUACUUUCUACUUGAGUAUUCUCUCCCCCUGGAGAUCUCUUUCUCCCCCUGAGGAGGUGAUACUCUCUCUCUGAUGUGAUCUCUCUAAGUGAUAAGCUUUGAUGUGAUCUCUCUCUCCCCCUUUGACAUCAAUUUCCAAGAAGGGUUUGAUCCUUGAGUCACAGAGCAAAGUAUUCAUAAAAAUGUGAUGCUUGUAGAGGACAAGAUUCAUUGAGUGGAGCUGGAUCAGAGAAAAUACAGAAUAAGUGGCAAACUAUUUUUCCUGUUGUGAAAUCGGUGGCACCGAGUGGUAUGCUUCGGUUGUACCGAAAGGAUUCGGUUGGACCGAAAACAACAAAUCGGUGAAAUCGAGUUCAUCACAGAGAAAACACUUGUCACCUCAGCUCACUAGACUAGUAAGAUCUCACAAAGAUUUGCAAGGAAUUUACAGAAUGAUAUGCAAUGAAUUUAAAUGCAGAAAAUGCAGAGCACACAGAAAGAAAUCUAGAUGAAGUCUUUUUUGAAGAGGGAAACAAAUAUGCAUGAGACAAAUGCAAAAACACAAAAAGAACACAAGAGAACUUCAUCUAGAGAUGGUCGGCGACAAAGUCACCUAUGUUAGAGUAUAUUGACUUAGGAGUCAAGUGAGAUCACUUGAUCAUAGGUCAUACCCAUCGUUUAAGCUCAAAAAUGGGGUUACCAUUUUUCGUUUAAGCAUCUUGAUGUAUUCACAUCUUGUUGAGUUGCUUUAGCUCAUGACUCGGAGUAAAGCUUCUCUAAGAUGGAACAACAUACCUUGGUUGGUGGUGUUGAACAUGUAGUUGAACUUAUGUGGGUUGCUCAAGGUUGAUGUAGCUCAUCAAGAGUUGGGAGCACCACUUGAAAUUCGAGUCCAUCUUCCUAUAUGGGUUAGUUCUUGCAAGGAAGAGUACUUGUGUAUCCAAAAAUGACAAUCAUGAAGCUCAACAUAGAAUUUGUCAAAGGAUAUGCUUGAAUGGUUUCGUGCUUCCUUGUCUUCAACCACCAUAGUGUAGAAACUUGGUGAUGUAGAGAUUGCUCAAGAUGUGAGUAGAUUACAAUCUCAUGGAAUAUGAUUCCACCAAGUACCUACAUGGGUUAGAUAACAUGCAAGAUUCAAAUAUAUCCAAGACAUAAGAUUUUCACCAUAAGAGAAAUAUCAAGGAUUAGUCAUAAGCUCAUGUCUUGCAUGUAUCCAAUGGAGUUUCUACUCCAAGUUUGAAGCAUCAAUGAUGUUCAAUUCUCCUCUUAGCCUGCAAAACACUUUCUCAUCAAGAGGUUUAGUAAAUAUAUCCGCUAAUUGCUUUUUAGUGCAAACAUGCUUAAGAUCAAUGUCACCCUUAGCAACAUGAUCUCGAAUGAAAUGAUGACGAACUUCAAUAUGCUUAGUUCGAGAAUGUUGUACGGGAUUAUGACCAAUUUUGAUAGCACUUUCAUUGUCACAAAGCAAUGGAACAUGUUUCACAUAUAUCCCAUAAUCUUUAAGAGUUUGGGUCAUCCAAAGUAAUUGAGCACAACAUGAACCAGCGGCAAUGUAUUCCGCUUCGGCGGUGGAUAAGGAUACCGAGUUUUGUUUCUUGGAGGACCAAGACACAAGAGAUCUACCAAGAAAUUGACAAGUACCCGAAGUGGAAUUUCUAUCAACCUUGUCUCCGGCAUAGUCCAAGUCGGAGUAGCCAACAAGAUCGAAAGAGGCCCUCUUAGGAUACCAAAUGCCAAAAUUUGGUGUAUGGAUUAAGUAUCUCACUAUCCUUUUCACGGCCUUAAGAUGACAUUCUUUAGGAGCAGCUUGAUAUCGUGCACACAUGCACACACUUAGCAUGAUAUCGGGACGUGAAGCACAUAGAUAUAACAAUGAACCAAUCAUAGAGCGAUAAACCUUUUGAUCAACCGAUUCACCAUCUUUGGUCAAAUCAAGAUGUCCACUAGUAGGCAUGGGUGUAGACAUACCUUUGCAUUCUUGCAUAUUGAACUUCUUGAAUAAGUCCUUGGUGUACUUCGUUUGAGAAACAAAAGUACCCUCCUUAGUUUGCUUGAUUUGCAAUCCAAGAAAGAAUUUGAGUUCACUCAUCAUAGACAUCUCAAACUUCUCCAACAUUAGCUUCCCAAACUUUUCACUAAAAUGAGGGUUAGUUGAACCAAAUAUAAUAUCAUCAACAUAGAUUUGGCACACAAAUAGUUCUCCAUUAACCCUUUUAGUAAAAAGAGUAGAAUCAAUUUUCCCAAUUUCAAAGCCUUUUUCAAUAAGGAACUUGGUCAAGCAUUUAUACCACGCUCUAGGAGCUUGUUUAAGACCAUAAAGAGCUUUGUGAAGUUUGUAAACAUGAUUGGGUUUCUUAGGAUUGACAAAGCCGGGAGGUUGCUUAACAUAAAUUUCCUCCUCAAUUUCACCAUUUAGAAAAGCACUUUUAAUGUCCAUUUGGUACAAGGUGAUAUCAUGAUGAUUAGCAUAGGCAAGUAAGAUGCGAAUGGACUCAAGUCUAGCAACGGGAGCGUAUGUCUCACCAUAGUCCAUACCUUCGACUUGUGUGUAGCCUUGGGCGACGAGACGUGCUUUGUUGCGAACUACUUGUCCAUCUUCAUCUUGCUUGUUGCAAAACACCCAUUUGGUACCGAUGAUGUUGUGGUUGUUGUCGGGCUUCUCAACCAAUGUCCAAACUUGGUUCCUCUCAAAGUUGUGUAGCUCUUCAUGCAUAACAUUUAUCCAAUCCGGAUUUUCCAAUGCUUCUUCAACCUUCAUAGGUUCAAUGCUAGAGAUGAAAGAAUAGUUUUCACAAAAGUUAGCUAAAUGAGUUUUAGAGCGAGUGAUUCUCCCGGUUUGAAUAUCAUUGUAGAUUUGCUCGACGGGAUGAUCUUUAGCAAUUCUUGCUCGAACUCGUGAAAGCUUUUGCUUGGUUCUUGGUUGAACUUCUUCUUUAUCUUGUUCUUCAUCUUGGCCUUCUUCAUUGUUGGCAUUGUCGUUCUCUUGUUGUGGUGGAGAGGGAGGUCGUUGAUGUUCAUCUUGAUGCACUUCCUCAUUUUCUUCAUCUUGGUGUGUCCCACUUGUGGAUGCUUCCGUAUCAACUCUUGGUUCACCUUGUCGUGAAGUAGAAGCUUCCACUUGGACGGACGAGGUACUCUCCUUCAACUCCGUUGAACGAACCUUCCCAAUAGACAAGUCUUAGAUUGCUUCUGACGGAUCUUUGUCUCCUACAUCAAUUGGCAAUUGCUCUACUUGCGAGCCGUUAGUUCAUCAAACUUCACAUCUACCGUCUCUUCAACCUUUCGGGUGAAAUUGUUGUAGACACGGUAAGUGUGAGAGUUUGAGCCAUAACCUAGUAGGAAACCUUCAUGAGACUUAGGAGCAAAUUUAGAACGACGAUGCUUAUCAAGAAUGUAGCACUUUGAGCCGAAUACUUGAAAGUAUCCAACUUGGGGUUUGUUACCGGUGAGGAGCUCGUAUGCCGUCUUGCCGAGUAGCUUGUGAAGAUACAAGCGAUUUGUUGCAUGACAAGCUGUCUCAACCACUUCUGCCCAAAAGUGCUUCGGUGUCUUGUACUCAUCAAGCAUCGUUCUCGCUAUUUCGAUGAGCGUCCGGUUCUUCCUCUCAACAACUCCAUUUUGUUGAGGUGUGUAUGUAGCCGAGAACUCGUGUGAAAUCCCUUCUUCGUCAAGAAAGGUGUCCACAUUUGCGUUUAACUCUGUUCCGUUGUCGCUGCGAACCUUCUUGAUCUUCACUUCAAAUUGAUUUUGGGCCUUCCUAGCGAAGUUUUUGAAGAUCUUUUGGACCUGCGAUUUAUCAUCGAGAAAGAACACACACGUAAAUCUUGAAAAAUCAUCAACUAUAACUAGACCAAAAGAAUUUCCAUCGAGACUCUUGUAGGCGUUGGGACCAAAAAGAUCCAUGUGAAGUAGCUCGAGUGGCCUCCUUGUGGUCAUAAUGUUCUUCACGGGAUGCCUUCCUCCAACCUAUUUACCAGCUUGACAAGCGCUGCAAAGUCUAUCCUUAUCAAAUAUGACAUCGUUAACACCAAGGAUAUGAUUUCCUUUAAUAAGCUUGUCAAGGUUUUGCAUACCAACAUGACCUAGUCGUCUAUGCCAUAACCAACCUUUUGAGGAUUUAGCAAUGAAGCAAGUUUUAGGUUGAGCCUUUUUAGUGAAAUCAACAAUGUAUAGAUCACCUCUACGUAUACCGGUAAAGACCAUUUUAUGAUUGUCUCGACAAAACACUUGGCAAUCUACUUCAGUAAAUAGGACAUUGAAACCGAAAUUAGCAAGUCUAGAUACUGAAAGUAAGUUGUAUCCAAGAGAUUCAAUGAGCAUGACAUUUUGUAUGGAGCUAUCAUGUGAUAUGGCCACCUUACCGAGGCCAACCACCUUACCCUUUGAGUUGUCACCGAAAGUGACAUACUUUCGAGGACCAUCGUUUUCUGCAAGCUCACGAAACAUGUCUUUAUCUCCGGUCAUGUGAUCGGUACAUCCACUAUCAAGAACCCAUUCCUUUCCUCCUGACAUAUAUCCCCGAAGAUUUGCCAUAAGACCAAAGUGUCUCAUUGCAUCAUCAAGAUCGAAGUCACUAUCAUCAUCCUCAUCAUAGUAUCCAUGUUCAACAUCGUCAUGUGGUGGAUCAAAUCCUAGAGAGGGUGAUUCGUUAGAGUGAGUUUGACAAUGAUCUUGCUUAUGAAUUUUUAUAGCUUCGGAAAUAAUAUCACUAAUAAUUCCAACAUCUCCUUUGGCACGCAUAAGGUUUGUAAGCUCAAAUAGACGAUCACCAAACAUAGGAUCACUAGUAUUCAUCUUACUCAAGGCAAUAGACUUAUGGAGAAUUUCAUCUAGAUUUUCAAGGAAUAAUUUAGAAAUCGUUCCUCAAGAAAUUUCCAUAUAGUGUAGGCACACUCAAGAGUAGGCAGGUUUGUAAUCAAGUUUCUAGGCAAGCCUCUAGUGAUAAGAUUAACAAUUCUAAGAUUCCUAAUCAUGUCAAUUGACUCAUCAAGAGUAGGAUGCAUAGGAUCAACAUGAGGUGCACAAGGGCUAGCAAUGUACUUGUUCAAAUGAUAUUGAUUGAAAAUUACAAGCAUCUCAUUUUUCCACUCAUGAAAAUACUCUCCAUCAAGAAUGGGCACUCUAUGUCUAAGACUCCCCAAAGUAGACUCAUCCAUCUUCCUCCAAUGGUGAUUAAACCAAGGCAAUGGAGACCAAUGCUCUGAUACCACUUGUAGGACCUUGAGAAGAGGUGUCUAGAGGGGGGGGGGUGAUUAGACACUAAGUACCAAAGUUGCGAUUUUUAAGAUCUUUAAGUUUAAGUGGAGUUUAGGCACAAGUUUAACAUUCACAAUACAUAACAAGCAAGCAUGCAAAGAGUAUAUGAGCAGCAGAAAGUAAAGCAUGCAACUUGCAAGAAUGUAAAGGGAAGGGUUUGGAGGAUUCAAACACAAUUGGAGACACGGAUGUUUUUGUCGUGGUUCCGAUAGGUGGUGCUAUCGUACAUCCAAGUUGAUGGAGACUUCAACCCACGAAGGGUAACGGUUGCACGAGUCCACGGAGGGCUCCACCCACGAAGGGUCCACGAAGAAGCAACCUUGUCUAUCCCACCAUGGCCGUCGCCCACGAAGGACUUGCCUCACUAGCGGUAGAUCUUCACGAAGUAGGUGAUCUCCUUGCCCUUACAAACUCCUUGGUUCAACUCCACAAUCUUGUCGGAGGCUCCCAAGUGACACCUAGCCAAUCUAGGAGACACCACUCUCCAAGAAGUAACAAAUGGUGCGUUGAUGAUGAACUCCUUGCUCUUGUGCUUCAAAUGAUAGUCUCCCCAACACUCAACUCUCUCUCAUAGGAUUUGGAUCUGGUGGAAAGAAGAUUUGAGUGGAAAGCAACUUGGGGAAGGCUAGAGAUCAAGAUUCAUAUGGUAGGAAUGGAAUAUCUUGGCCUCAACACAUGAGUAGGUAGUUAUCUCUCAGAAAAUGUAUGCUGGAAGUGUAGGUUCAGUUUGAUGGCUCUCUCCACGAACGAAGAGGAGGUGGAGGGGUAUAUAUAGCCUCCCCACAAAAUCUAACCGUUACACGCAACUUGCCAAACUCGGUGGGACCGAAUUGAUAAACUCGGUCGGACCAAUUUAGCAAAUCUAGUGACCGUUAGGAUUUUCGGUGGGACCGAUAUGCAACUCGGUAGGACCGAUAUGGUUAAGGUUAGGGCAUAACGUAAUCUCGGUGAGACCGAUUACACAAACUCGGUUGGACCAAUUUUGGUAAUUAGCUAACCAGAGAGUUGGUCAGGCAAACUCGGUUGGACCGAUUACACAAACUCGGUGGGACCAAUUUUGGUAAUGAGUCUACUAGGAAGUUUGCAUUGUAAUCUCGGUAGUACCGAUUGCUCAAACUCGGUGAGACCGAAUUUGGUAAUGGACACACACAGAGAGAUUACAAUCCCAUCUCAGUGAGACCGAGAUCCCUAUCGGUGAGACCGAUUUGCCUAGGGUUUGUGGCAGUGGCUAAGACAAUUGAACUCGGUGGCGCCGGAUAGAAAGAAUCGGUGGGGCCGAAUUUGACUUUAGGUUUAGGUCAUAUGUGUGGAAAUGGGAAAGUAGUUGAGGGUUUUGGAGCAUAUCACUAAGCACUGUGGAGCAAGAAACUCAUUAAGCAACACCUCAUCCCUUCUUGAUAGUAUUGGCUUUUCCUAUAGACUCAAUGUGAUCUUGGAUCACUAAAAUGUAAAAUGAAGAGUCUUGAGCUUGAAGCUUGAGCCAAUCCUUUGUCCUUAGCAUCUUGAAGGAGUUCCCACAUCCUUUAGUUCAUGCCACUCCAUUGUUGAACUUAUCUGAAACAUACUAGAUAAAAGUGUUAGUCCAACAAGAGAUAUGUUGACAUUAAUUACCAAGACCACCUAGGGAGCACUUGUUCUUUCACAACGCUGCUGGGCUGCUCGUCAGGGGGAACGAACUGCACUAGCCGACCGGCCAGACCAUGACGUCCAACAUGCGGUGGCGCACAUGCCCCUCCUCCUGCCACCCGCGCGACAAAGCCACGCAUUGAAGCCAGAGAGCCUCGGAUCCGGCCCAGUUGGGGCAGAUCUAGGCCAUCGGCGGUGAGGGGAGGCGGUGUGUGUGUGCUGUAGGGCACGGCGAUGGGGGCGAGGGGACUUGGAGGCAGCGAAGUUGCAGUGUUGGCGAGGUAAGGCCAUGGCGCGGCCGGGGAGGAGUCAGGAUGAGGAGGACCUUGGUGGUCGCGACUCUGGUUCUUCACCGACGGAGUAGAAGUAAGGAGGAGAAGGUAGAGUGCUCGAUGAAGGCAAAGGGGAGGUGGCCGUGGCGGAUCCGGUGACGGGGCGUCGCGAGGGCAUCGCCGUGGCCCUGGAUCCGGUGGUGGGAGGAUACCGCGGCCUAGAUCCGGCGGUGGCUGGUACUGGGAGGUGUCCCGGGGGCACGAGGACCAGCACGGCUCGCACGCGGGGGGAGGAAGGCCGCGUCGGGGCUGUGGCAGUUCGGCGUGGGAAGGGCAGGACGAGUGGAAGGUUGAGGGAGGUGGGGCGGAUUGGGGAUGGGCGGUGGGGGGCGUUGAAGGAAAUAUGGCCGAGAGGCAAUAAUAAAGUUAUUAUUUAUUUCCUUAUAUCAUGAUAAAUGUUUAUUAUUCAUGCUAGAAUUGUAUUAACCGGAAACAUAAUACAUGUGUGAAUACAUAGACAAACUUAAUGUCACUAGUAUGCCUCUACUUGACUAGCUCAUUAAUCAAAGAUGGUUAUGUUUCCUAACCAUAGACAUGAGUUGUCAUUUGAUUAACAGGAUCACAUCAUUCGUAGAAUGAUGUGAUUGACAUGACCCAUUCCGUUAGCUUAGUACUUGAUCGUUUAGUAUGUUGCUAUUGCUUUCUUCAUGACUUAUACAUGUUCCUAAAACUAUGAGAUUAUGCAACUCCCGUUUACCGGAGGAACACUUUAUGUGCUACCAAACGUCACAACAUAACUGGGUGAUUAUAAAGGAGCUCUACAGGUGUCCCCAAAGGUACAUGUUGACUUGGCGUAUUUCGAGAUUAGGUUUUGUCACUCCGAUUGUCGGAGAGGUAUCUCUGGGCCCUCUCGGUAAUGCACAUCACUAUAAGCCUUGCAAGCAAUGUAACUAAUGAGUUAGUUACGGGAUGAUGCAUUACAUAACGAGUAAAUAGACUUGCCGGUAAUGAGAUUGAACUAGGUAUUGAGAUACCGAGGAUCGAAUCUCGGGCAAGUAACAUACCGAUGACAAAGGGAGCAACGUAUGUUGUUAUGCGGUUUGACCGAUAAAGAUCUUCGUAGAAUAUGUAGGAGCCAAUAUGAGAAUCCAGGUUCCGCUAUUGGUUAUUGACCGGAAACGUGUCUCGGUCAUGUCUACAUAGUUCUCGAACCCGUAGGGUCCGCACGCUUAAGGUUUCGAUGACAGUUAUAUUAUGAGUUUAUGAGUUUUGAUGUACCGAAGGUUGUUCGCAGUCCUAGAUGUGAUUACGGACAUGACGAGGAGUCUCUAAAUGGUUGAGACAUGAAGAUUGAUAUAUUGGAAGUCUAUAUUUGGAUAUCAGAAGUGUUCCAGGUGAAAUCGGGAUUUUACCGGAGUACCGGGAGGUUACCGGAACCCCUCGGGGGCUUAAUGGGCCAUAGUGGGCCUUAGUGGAGAAGAGGAGAGGAGGCCAGGGCAGGGCCACGCACCCCUCCCCCCUAGUCCAAAUAGGACAAGGAGAGGGGGGGCGGCGCCCCCUUUUCCUUCCUCUCUCUCCCUCCUCUUUCCCCCCUUCUCCAAGUCCAACAAGGAAGGAGGGAGUCCUACUCCCGGUGGGAGUAGGACUCCCCUUGGCGCAUCUCCUCCCUAGCCGGCCGCCCCCUCCCCCCUUGCUCCUUUAUAUACGGGGGCAGGGGGCACCUCUAGACACAACAAUUGAUCUCUUGAUCUCUUAGCCGUGUGCGGUGCCCCCCUCCACCAUAGUCCUCCUCGGUAAUAUUGUAGCGGUGCUUAGGCGAAGCCCUGCGAUGGUAGAACAUCAAGAUCGUCACCACGCCAUCAUGCUGACGGAACUCUCCCUCGACACUUGGCUGGAUUGGAGUUCGAGGGACGUCAUCGAGCUGAAUGUGUGCUAGAACUCGGAGGUGCCGUAGUUUCGGUGCUUGAUUGGUCGGGCCGUGAAGACGUACGACUACAUCAACCGCGUUGUUCUAACGGUUCGGUCUACGAGGGUACGUGGACGACACUCUCCCCUCUCGUUGCUAUGCAUCACCAUGAUCUUGCACGUGCGUAGGAAUUUUUUUGAUAUUACUGCGUUCCCCAAUAGUGGCAUCCGAGCCAGGUUUUAUGCGUAAAUGUUAUAUGCACGAGUAGAACACAAGUGAGUUGUGGGCGAUACAAGUCAUACUGCUUAGCAGCAUGUCAUACUUUGGUUCGGCGGUAUUGUUGGAUGAAGUGGCCCGGACCGACAUUACGCAUACGCUUACGCGAGACUGGUUCUACCGACGUGCUUUGCACACAGGUGGCUGGCGGGUGUCAGUUUGUCCAACUUUAGUUGAACCGAGUGUGGCUACGCCCGGUCCUUGCGAAGGUUAAAACAACACUAACUUGACGAACUAUCGUUGUGGUUUUGAUGCGUAGGUAAGAACGGUUCUUGCUCAGCCCAUAGCAGCCACAUAAAAUUUGCAACAACAAAGUAGAGGACAUUUAACUUGUUUUUGUAGGGCAUGUUGUGAUGUGAUAUGGUCAAGACGUGAUGCUAUAUUUUAUUGUAUGAGAUGAUCAUGUUUUGUAACCGAGUUAUCGGCAACUGGCAGGAGCCAUAUGGUUGUCGCUUUAUUAUAUGAAAUGCAAGCGCCCUGUAAUUGCUUUACUUUAUCACUAAGCGGUAGCGAUAGUCGUAGAAGCAAUAGGUGGCAAAACGACAACGAUGCUACGAUGGAGAUCAAGGUGUCGCGCCGGUGACGAUGGUGAUCACGACGGUGCUUCGGAGAUGGAGAUCACAAGCACAAGAUGAUGAUGGCCAUAUCAUAUCACUUAUAUUGAUUGCAUGUGAUGUUUAUCCUUUAUUCAUCUUAUUUUGCUUUGAUUGACGGUAGCAUUAUAAGAUGACCUCUCACUAAAUUUCAAGAAGUGUUCUCCCUGAGUAUGCACUGUUACGAAAGUUCUUCGUGCUGAGAUGCCACGUGAUGAUCGGGUGUGAUAGGCUCUACGUUCAAAUACAACGGGUGCAAAACAGUUGCACACGCGGAAUACUCAGGUUAAACUUGACGAGCCUAGCAUAUACAUAUAUGGCCUCGGAACACGGAGACCGAAAGGUCGAACAUGAAUCAUAUAGUAAAUAUGAUCAACAUAGUGAUGUUCACCAUUGAAAACUACUCCAUCUCACGUGAUGAUUGGACAUGGUUUAGUUGAUUUGGAUCACGUGAUCACUUAGAUGACUAGAGAGAUGUCUGUCUAAGUGGAAGUUCUUUAGUAAUAUGAUUAAUUGAACUUAAAUUUAUCAUGAACUUAGUACCUGAUAGUACUUUGCUUGUCUAUGUUUGUUGUAGAUAGAUGACUCGUGUUGUUGUUCCGUUGAAUUUUAAUGCGUUCCUUGAGAAAGCUAAGUUGAAAGAUGAUGGUAGCAAUUACACGGGCUGGGUCCAUAACUUGAGGAUUAUCCUCAUUGCUGCACAGAAGAAUUACGUCAUGGAAGCACCGAUGGGUGCUAGGCCUGCUGCAGAUGCAACUGACUACGUUAAGAACGUCUGGCAGAGCAAAGCUGAUGACUACUCGAUACUUCAGUGUGCCAUGCUUUACGGCUUAGAACUGGGACUUCAACAAUGUUUUGAACGUCAUGGAGCAUAUGAUAUGUUCCAGGAGUGUAAGUUAAUAUUUCAAGCAAAUGCCCGGAUUGAGAGAUAUGAAGUCUCCAAUAAGUUCUAUAGCUGCAAGAUGGAAGAGAAUAGUUCUAUUAGUGAACAUAUACUCAAAAUGUCUGGGUAUAAUAAUCACUUGAUUCAACUGGGAGUUGAUCUUCCUGAUGAUAGUGUCAUUGACAGAAUUCUUCAAUCACUGCCACCAAGCUACAAGAGCUUCGUGAUGAACUAUAAUAUGCAAGGGAUGGACAAGACUAUUCCUGAGCUCUUUGCAAUGCUAAAGGUUGCGGAGGUAGAAAUCAAGAAGGAUCAUCAAGUGUUGAUGGUCAAUAAGACCACCAGUUUCAAGAAAAAGGGUAAAGGGAAGAAGAAAGGGAACUUCAAGAAGAACAGCAAACAAGUUGCUGCUUAAGAGAAUAAACCCAAAUCUGGACCUAAGCCUGAGACUGAGUGCUUCUACUGCAAGCAGACUGGUCACUGGAAGCGGAACUGCCCCAAGUAUUUGGCGGAUAAGAAGGAUGGCAAGGUGAACAAAGGUAUAUGUGAUAUACAUGUUAUUGAUGUGUAACUUACUAAUGCUCGCAGUAGCACCUGGGUAUUUGAUACUGGUUCUGUUGCUAAUAUUUGCAACUUGAAACAGGGACUACGGAUUAAGCGAAGAUUGGCUAAGGACAAGGUGAUGAUGCGCGUGGGAAAUGGUUCCAAAGUCGAUGUGAUCGCGGUCGGCACGCUACCUCUACAUCUACCUUCGGGAUUAGUUUUAGACCUGAAUAAUUGUUAUUUGGUGCCAGCAUUGAGCAUGAACAUUAUAUCUGGAUCUUGUUUGAUGCGAGACGGUUAUUCAUUUAAAUUAGAGAAUAAUGGUUGUUCUAUUUAUAUGAGUAAUAUCUUUUAUGGUCAUGCACCCUUGAAGAGUGGUCUAUUUUUAUUAAAUCUCGAUAGUAGUGAUACACAUAUUCAUAAUGUUGAAGCCAAAAGAUGCAGAGUUGAUAAUGAUAGUGCAACUUAUUUGUGGCACUGCCGUUUGGGUCAUAUUGGUGUAAAGCGCAUGAAGAAACUCCAUAUUGAUGGACUUCUGGAAUCACUUGGUACUUGCGAACCGUGCCUCAUGGGCAAGAUGACUAAAACGUCGUUCUCCGGAACUAUGGAGCGAGCAACAGACUUGUUGGAAAUCAUACAUACUGAUGUAUGUGGUCCGAUGAACGUUGAGGCUCGCGGCGGAUAUUGUUAUUUUCCCACCUUCACAGAUGAUUUGAGCAGAUAUGGGUAUAUCUACUUAAUGAAACACAAGUCUGAAACAUUUGAAAAGUUCAAAGAAUUUCAGAGUGAAGUAGAAAAUCAUCGUAACAAGAAAAUAAAGUUUCUACGAUCUGAUCGUGGAGGACAAUAUUUGAGUUACGAGUUUGGUUUACAUUUGAAACAAUGCGGAAUAGUUUCGCAACUCACGCCACCCGGAACACGACAACGAAAUGGUGUGUCCAAGCGUCGUAAUCGUACUUUACUAGAUAUGGUGCGAUCUAUGAUGUCUCUUAAUGAUUUGCCGCUAUCGUUUUGGGGUUAUGCUUUAGAGACGGCCACAUUCACAUUAAAUAGGGCACCAUCAAAAUCCAUUGAGACGACGCCUUAUGAACUGUGGUUUGGCAAGAAACCAAAGUUGUCAUUUCUUAAAGUUUGGGGCUGCGAUGCUUAUGUGAAGAAACUUCAACCAGAUAAGCUCGAACCCAAAUCGGAGAAAUGUGUCUUCAUAGGAUACCCAAAAGAGACUAUUGGGUACACCUUCUAUCACAGAUAUGAAGGCAAGACUUUUGUUGCUAAAUUUGGAUCCUUUCUAGAGAAGGAGUUUCUCUCGAAAGAAGUGAGUGGGAUGAAAGUAGAACUUGAUGAGGUAACUAUACCUGCUCCCUUAUUGGAAAAUAGUUCAUCAUAGAAACCGGUUCCUGUGACAACUACACCAAUCAGUGAGGAAGCUAAUGAUAUUGAUCAUGGAACUUCAGAUCAAGUUACUAUAGAAACUCGUAGGUCAUCCAGAGUAAGAUCCGCUCCAGAGUGGUACGGUAAUCCUAUUCUGGAAGUCAUGUUACUUAACCAUGGCGAACCUACGAACUAUGAGGAAGCGAUGAUGAGCCCAGAUUCCGCAAAAUGGCUUGAGGCCAUGAAAUCUGAGAUGGGAUCCAUGUAUGAGAACAAAGUAUGGACUUUGGUUGACUUGCCCAAUGAUCAGCAAACCAUCGAGAAUAAAUGUAUCUUCAAGAAGAAGACUGACGAUGAUGGUAAUGUAACUAUCUACAAAGCUCGACUUGUUGCGAAAGGUUUUCGACAAGUUCAAGGGGUUGACUACGAUGAUACUUUCUCACCCAUAGCGAUGCUUAAGUCUGUCUGAAUCAUGUUAGGAAUUGACGCAUUUUAUGAUUAUGAAAUAUGGCAAGUGGAUGUCAAAACUACAUUCCUGAAUGGAUUUCUGGAAGAAGAGUUGUAUAUGAUGCAACCAGAAGGUUUUGUCGAUCCAAAAGGUGCUAACAAAGUGUGCAAGCUCCAACGAUCCAUUUAUGGACUAGUGCAAGCCUCUCGGAGUUGGAAUAAAUGAUUUGAUAGUGUGAUCAAAGCAUAAGGUUUUAUACAGACUUUUGGAGAAACCUCUAUUUACAAGAAAGUGAGUGGGAGCUCUGUAGCAUUUAUAAUAUUAUAUGUAGACGACAUAUUGUUAAUUGGAAAUGAUAUAGAAUUUCUGGAUAGCAUAAAAGGAUACUUGAAUAAAAGUUUUUCAAUGAAAGACCUCGGUGAAGCUGCUUACAUAUUAGGCAUCAAGAUCUAUAGAGAUAGAUCAAGACGCUUAAUUGGACUUUCACAAAGCACAUUCCUUGAUAAAGUUUUGAAAAAGUUCAAAAUGGAUCAAGCAAAGAAAGGGUUCUUGCCUGUAUUACAAGGUGUGAAGUUGAGUCAGACUCAAUGCCCGACCACAGUAGAAGAUAGAGAGAAAAUGAAAGAUGUUCCCUAUGCUUCAGCCAUAGGCUCUAUCAUGUAUGCAAUGCUGUGUACCAGACCUGAUGUAUGCUUAGCAAUAAGUUUAGCAGGGAGGUACCAAAGUAAUCCAGGAGUGGAUCACUAGACAGCGGUCAAGAACAUCCUGAAAUACCUGAAAAGGACUAAGAAUAUGUUUCUCGUUUAUGGAGGUGACAAAGAGCUAGUCGUGAAUGGUUACGUCGAUGCAAGCUUUGACACUGAUCCGGACGAUUCUAAAUCGCAAACCGGAUAUGUGUUUAUAUUAAAUGGUGGGGCUGUCAGUUGGUGCAGUUCUAAACAAAGCGUCGUGGCGGGAUCUACAUGCGAAGCGGAGUACAUAGCUGCUUCGGAAGCAGCAAAUGAAGGAGUCUGGAUGAAGGAGUUCAUUUCCGAUCUAGGUGUCAUACCUAGUGCAUUGGGACCAAUGAAGAUCUUCUGUGACAAUAUUGGUGCAAUUGCCUUGGCAAAGGAAUCCAGAUUUCACAAGAGGACCAAGCACAUCAAGAGACGCUUCAAUUCCAUCCGGGACCAAGUCCAGGUGGGAGACAUAGAGAUUUGCAAGAUACAUACAGAUCUGAAUGUUGCAGACCCGUUGACUAAGCCUCUCCCACGAGCAAAACAUGAUCAACACCAAGGCUCCAUGGGUGUUAGAAUCAUUACUAUGUAAUUUAGAUUAUUGACUCUAGUGCAAGUGGGAGACUGAAGGAAAUAUGCCCUAGAGGCAAUAAUAAAGUUAUUAUUUAUUUCCUUAUAUCAUGAUAAAUGUUUAUUAUUCAUGCUAGAAUUGUAUUAACCGGAAACAUAAUACAUGUGUGAAUACAUAGACAAACUUAAUGUCACUAGUAUGCCUCUACUUGACUAGCUCAUUAAUCAAAGAUGGUUAUGUUUCCUAACCAUAGACAUGAGUUGUCAUUUGAUUAGCGGGAUCACAUCAUUAGUAGAAUGAUGUGAUUGACAUGACCCAUUCCGUUAGCUUAGUACUUGAUCGUUUAGUAUGUUGCUUUUGCUUUCUUCAUGACUUAUAGAUGUUCCUACAACUAUGAGAUUAUGCAACUCCCGUUUACCGGAGGAACACAUUGUGUGCUACCAAACAUCACAACGUAACUGGGUGAUUAUAAAGGAGCUCUACACGUGUCUCCAAAGGUACAUGUUGAGUUGGCGUAUUUCGAGAUUAGGUUUUGUCACUCCGAUUGUCGAAGAGGUAUCUCUGGGCCCUCUCGGUAAUGCACAUCACUAUAAGCCUUGCAAGCAAUGUAACUAAUGAGUUAGUUACGGAAUGAUGCAUUACAUAACGAGUAAAGAGACUUGCCCGUAACGAGAUUGAACUAGGUAUUGAGAUACCGACGAUCGAAUCUCGGGCAAGUAACAUACCGAUGACAAAGGGAACAACGUAUGUUGUUAUGCGGUUUGACCGAUAAAGAUCUUCGUAGAAUAUGUAGGAGCCAAUAUGAGCAUCCAGGUUCUGCUAUUGGUUAUUGACCGGAAACAUGUCUCGAUCAUGUCUACAUAGUUCUCGAACCCAUAGGGUCCGCAUGCUUAAGGUUUCGAUGAUAGUUAUAUUAUGAGUUUAUGAGUUUUGAUGUACUGAAGGUAGUUCAGAGUCCUGGAUGUGAUUACGGACAUGACGAGGAGUCUCGAACUGGUCGAGACAUGAAGAUUGAUAUAUUGGAAGUAUAUAUUUGGAUAUCGGAAGUGUUCCGGGUGAAAUCGGGAUUUUACCGGAGUAUCGGGAGGUUACCGGACCCCCCGGGGGCUUAAUGGGCCAUAGUGGGCCUUAGUGGAGAAGAGGAGAGGAGGCGAGGGCAGGGCCGCGCGCCCCUCCCCCCUAGUCUGAAUAGGACAAGGAGAGGGGGGCGGCGCCCCCCCCCCUUUUCCUUCCUCUCUCUCCCUCCUCUUUCCCCCCUUCUCCAAGUCCAACAAGGAAGGAGGGAGUCCUACUCCCGGUGGGAGUAGGACGCCCCUUGGCGCGCCUCCUCCCUGACCGGUCGCCCCCCUGCUCCUUUAUAUACAGGGGCAGGGGGGCACCUCUAGACACAACAAUUGAUCUCUUGAUCUCUUAGCCGUGUGCUGUGCCCCCCUCCACCAUAGUCCUCCUCGAUAAUAUUGUAGCGGUGCUUAGGUGAAGCCCUGCGACGAUAGAACAUCAAGAUCAUCACCACGCUGUCGUGUUGACGGAACUCUCCCUCGAUACUCGGCUAGAUAGGAGUUCGAGGGACGUCAUCGAGCUGAACGUGUGCUAGAACUCGGAGGUGCCGUAGUUUCGGUGCUUGAUCGGUCGGGCCGUGAAGACGUACGACUACAUCAACCGCGUUGUUCUAACGCUUCCGCUUUCGAUCUACGAGGGUACGUGGACGACACUCUCCCCUCUCGUUGCUAUGGAUCACCAUGAUCUUGCGUGUGCGUAGGAUUUUUUUUGAAAUUACUACGUUCCCCAAUAGGCAUUCAGGGUGGUUGGGUGGGCAGAGGAGGAAGAAGGUGGGGUGGGGGAUUAUCGAUGGCUUUUUUAUGCGUGCAGUUCACCCCGGAGUUUUUAUGCGAAGGGCAAGUGUUAGCUGAAUAAGUGGGUGUUAGCAGAAUAACACUCUUAAGGGGUGUUAGCAGAAUAAGACUCUUAAGGGGUGUUAUCAUAAUAGACCCACCCUAUAUAAGCGGGUGUUAGCAGAAUAAGCGGGUGUUAGCAGAAUAGUGGAAUUGGGGAAGUUUUGGAGGUGGAGGCCAGAGCGGAUGGCGAGGCAGUGGGUAAAUACCUCCGGGUUAAGGUUAGAAUGGGCGUUAAAGAACCGCUGAUGAGAGGGAUCAAGGUGGAGCAAGAGGAGGAGGGAGAGGGCGCUCAGAGUCAUGCUGCAGGGAAGAAACCCAUCCAUGAGGAAGAUGACAUUUGUUGGUGCCCUUUUCAAUAUGAAUUCCUACCUGGAUUUUGUUAUGUGUGUGGCAUUUUGGGACACGAAGACAAGUUGUGUAAGGUGAAACUAAAACGUGGGGAUAAAGCACAGUUUGGUCCAUGGAUGAGAGCCUUCAUGCCACGGCGAAGUGGGGGAGGGGCUCGUGGAAGAUGGGGCAAAGGGGGAGCGGGUCAUAAUGGUAGAUUUGCAGGCAGUAGAAGCCAGGGUGCGUUGCAUGGGCGAUCUUCGUCAGGCAGUGACACAUCAUCUUGGCGAAAAAAAUUCAAGGAGCGGUGGUGGUGCAGUGGAGGAGGAAGAGAAGGGACAGGAGGUGACGAGUCCUUUAAAGUUACCAAGUACAGGAGCCCUGGGAACGUGUGUUGGUGGUGGAGUAGCAAAACAAUUAUUGUUUGAGCCAUCAAAUCAGAAUAUACAAAAUGAAAGGGAAGGAGAGGAGGGAAGGAACAAAUCCCGAGAAGAAUACAUUCAAAGACAAAGUGAUCCUGUGGAGGGGACCCAGAGUGCACAUGAUGGGUGGGGCACGGAAGGCGAGGCCAUGCAGACUGCACUUUCCAUGCAGAUUGACGUAGUCCCUCCCCCGUUUCGUCAUACGCAACAGGAUGUAGCAGCCGGGGAGAGGGAGAGUUCAGAUGCACAACUCGACAAGUAUGUUGGCACCUACAAAAAGAAGGGUAGGGGGCAGGAAAGGGUUCUGCCUGCACAAAAUUUGGAGAAUAUAUCUGGUUUUAAGAGGGCAUCUGAGGUUCGUGAAGAGGAUGGAGAAGAGACUACAAAGAUAUUGAAGCAGAAGGAGGGGUACACCAAGGGGAGUGAGGAGACUAUUAACUUUGACCAGAUUGCGGGGCUGCCAGGACAGCCCUGCAGGACCCAAUGAAGAUUAUAGUGUGGAACUGCCGGGGAUUGGGGAACAGGCCGGCAGUUUGUGGUCUUCUGGAUAUCCAGAAGAGGGAGGACCCCGAUAUUUUGUUUUUAUCAAAAACAAAGAUGAAUAAAGAGAGGAUGGGCAGUUUUAGGGAUAUGUUAGGUUUACAUCAUAUGGUGGCUCAAGAUAAUAAAGGGAAGAGCGGUGGCUUAUCACUGUUCUGGAGGAGAGGAAUCAAUGUGACAAUAAGGUGGAUGGGCAGAAUGCACAUUGAUGCUAUUGUGGAGGAGAAAGAUGGCUUCAAAUGGCGGUUGACUGGUGUGUACAGAGAAUCACACGUGGCCAAUAAGGGUGAGACUUGGCGGCUACUAAGGACGCUCCACCAUCAAGUUCAGCUUCCGUGGGUGUGCAUGGGCGACUUCAAUGAGAUCCUCUUUAACCAUGAGAAGCAAGGGGGGGCUCCCUGCUCCCAUAGAUGUAUGCAAAGUUUUCGAGAUGCUCUGGAUUUUUGUAACUUGCAUGACCUCGGUUUCGAGGGAGAUGUUUUUACGUGGAGGAAUAAAAACUACCGGGUUGAUGGCUAUAUUCAUGAAAGACUAGACAGGGUUGUAGCGACACCGGAGUGGCAUGCUCGUUUUCCGGCUUAUAAAGUGGUUAAUGGUGAUCCAAGAAAGUCAGACCAUCGGCCCAUCACACUUUCCCUUGAUGGUAGACCCAGACCGAGGCGCUGUGGGGGUGGAGGGAGUGGUGAACGCCUGUUGCGGUUUGAGGCCCGGUGGCUGUUAUAAGAGAAGUGUGAUGAUAUCGUGAAGGAAGCUUGGGACGGGGAGAGGGGGGAGGAUGCCUGGGGGAAGUUGAAGGUAGUGGUUAAGGCUCCCAAUACAUGGAGCUGGGAUGUUUUGGGCGAUCUAGGAAAGAGGAUCAGGAAGUUGAGGAGUGAGUUGGAGGCUAUUAGGAGGGAACCCAUUUCUGAUAGUCAGGUGAGGAGGGAGCAAACUAUCAGUUUUAAGUUGGAUCGUCUUGAGGAGCAGGAAGAUUUGGUUUGGAGGCAACAAGCCCAUGUCAAUUGGCUUGUUUAUGGGGACCGUAACACUAAAUUCUUUCAAGCCUUUGCCUCGGAGCGGAAGAGGAAGAACUCCAUCCAUAGACUGAGGAAGGAUAAUGGGGAGGUUGUGGAGAGUGAGGAGGGGAUGAAGGAGCUCGUCACUAACUAUUUUUCUUCUCUUUUUACCUCUGUGGCAGGAGAUAAUACAAGUGAUAUACUAAACCAUAUAGCUCCAAGGGUAACCGACCAAAUGAAUGCACAUUUGUUGGCUGAGUUUACCAAGGAUGAAGUGAAAGCGGCCCUGGAUGACAUCGGUGAUCUCAAAGCACCGGGAAUGGAUGGCCUACCUGCAAUUUUCUAUAAGCACUAUUGGCACCUUGUCGGAGAAGAGGUGACGCGGGAGGUGUUGCAUGUGUUGCGAGGCGGCAGUAUGCCGGAGGGAUGGAACGAUACCCUUGUGGUUCUUAUCCCAAAGGUUCAAAACCCUGAACAUCUGAAGGAUCUUCGCCCUAUUAGCCUUUGCAACGUCGUGUACAAGCUCAUGUCCAAAGUCCUGGCAAAUCGGCUAAAAUGCAUUUUGGGAGAGAUCAUUUCACCAAACCAGAGUGCCUUUGUGCCGGGACGUUUAAUCUCAGAUAACACUAUAGUGGCCUAUGAGAUGACACAUUUUUUGAAGAGGAAGCGGAUGGGCAGCACGGCAUAUGCUGUGUUUAAACUAGACAUGAGCAAAGCGUAUGAUCGCGUCGAAUGGGACUUUUUGGAGAAGGUGAUGAGGCAGGGGGUUCACCGAGCAGUUUGUGCAGCUAAUCAGUACGUGUAUCAGAUCAGUACGAUUCAGUUUCAAGAUUAAUAGCUCCUGCACUGACCUAGUCAUCCCGGAGCGGGGCCUUCGUCAGGGCGAGCCCAUCUCCCCCUACCUAUUUUUGAUUUGUGCCGAGGGGUUGUCAGCUCUGUUGCACCAUGCGGAGCAGGUUAGGCAGAUCAAGGGCAUUCAGUUGGCGGCUCAGGCACCCCCCAUUAGCCACCUGCUUUUUGCUGAUGACUCGCUGCUACUACUGGAGGCAACACCGGAAAGCAUUGUGGCUGUAAAUCACAUCCUGCAUGUUUACGAGCAGGGUUCAGGCCAAGUCAUUAAUCGAGACAAGUCAGCGGUCCUUUUCAGCAGGAAUACUUCCUCGGCCAAAAAACAUGUUCUGCUAACUGCUUUAGGACUUCGGUCGGAAAGCUUGCAUGGCAAAUACCUGGGCCUGCCGAGCUACGUGGGUCGUUCCCGCCAGAAAUGCUUUGAGUACUUGCGUGACAAAAUUUGGGAAAUCCUUAAGGGAUGGAAGAUCAAGUUGCUCUCGAAAGCUGCAAAAGAGAUCCUUAUUAAAACAGUCAUUCAAGCUAUCCCCACUUACGCUAUGGCUUGUUUUGAUCUUACUAAAGAGCUUUGCGGGAGCAUUAGUGCCAUGGUGUGCAAAUUUUGGUGGUCUAACCAGGAGGAGGAAAAUAAGCAUCAUUGGAUUAGUUGGGAGAGGAUGUGCUUACCGAAGGACCAAGGUGGGCUCGGAUUCAGGGAUCUGCACACGUUCAAUGUUGCCAUGCUUGCUCGUCAAGUGUGGCGACUCACCCAGGCUCCAGAGUCCCUCUGUGCAAAAAUUUUGAAGGCAAAGUACUUCCCCGAUUGCGAUAUUCUGGAUGCUUCUGCUAAAGCUGGAAUGAGCUAUGUGUGGCGUAGUAUCUUACAGGGUCUGGAGGUUGUAAAGGCCGGGAUGAUCUGGAGGGUUGGAUCGGGGGAGAACAUCCAUAUAUGGCCCGACCCGUGGUUACCGUCUAAUGACACGAGGAGGCCCAGUACGCUGCAAGGGGGUCACUUGCUUACGAGAGUGUCUGAACUCAUUGACCCAAUGACAAACCGAUGGGAUCAGCAACUAGUCUCACAAACUUUUACGCCGGUCGAUGCACGUACAGUCCUGGCUAUUCCCAUCCGCGACCAAUACGAGGAUUUUGUGGCUUGGCACUUUGACAAGAGAGGCAUGUUUUCCAUUCGAUCUGCAUACCGGGUGUAUAUGGACCUGAAGCUGCAGCAGAACACCAGGCAAAGAGGCGAGAAUAUUGAUGGAAGUCAGCAUAGUACAAGGUUCUGGAACAAACUAUGGCGCCUCCGGUGUCCGGCACAUGUGCAUCAUUUUCUGUGGCGCUUGGCCCAGAAUAGUCACCCGCUACUCCGCAACGUUGAACGGCUAGGAGUUGAACUUGAUACAUCCUGCAUCCUGUGUGGCCGGUUUGCGGAGAACGGAGGGCAUCUAUUCUUACGAAGCAAGGAAGUGAAGAAGGCGUGGAGAGAGUGUGUUCUUGAUCAUCUCAGAAAAGAUCUCCUGGCUAUGCAAUCCCCCCAAGCCAUGCUGGAGGUUAUCUUUAAACUCCCUGACGAGCUGAUACUGAGAGUCGCUAGCCUCCUGUGGUCGUGGUGGUCCAAGAGGAACAAAGCUAAUCAUAAAAAAUAGAGACUAACACCGGAGGCUUUCGACGCAAAGGUGCGUCAUGAUGUGGUUGAAUGGACCGAAUUCCUCGGGGAGAAGAACCAGGGCUCACCCACGCCGACAGCUUGCUGGAACCCCCCGCCUGCUGACUAUGUUAAGAUCAACUUCGAUGCGUCAUUUCAUGUGGUUACAGGGUCAGCAAGCUGGGGCGCCAUUGCCCGAGACUCUGAUGGUCAGAUGUUGUUAGCUGCGGCAGGGGGCCUUCGGGAUAUGCAGGAUGCCAUGCAUGUGGAAACUGCUGCUUUGCUCAAGGCCAUCGAGGUUGCUGGACAUUUUGGUAUGGGGAGGGUGAUUUUCCAGACCGAUUGCCUCCUCUUGCAACAAGCAACUACAUCCUCGUUUUUAGACCAUAACCCCCUUGGUGUCCUGUUUAGAGAAGCUAAGUUCCAGAUGCAACAAGAGUUCAUAGCUGCCUCUGUAGUUUUCCAGCCAAGGGAGUGCAACAAGCCAGUGCAUGUGUUGGCUGCCUCUAUCAAUCGGAACUUUCCAAAUAGCCAAUCUGUUUGGCUUUCGGAAUUUCCAGUCGAAGUAACCCGUGUUGUGGCCGCCGAUUUGGUCGGUCCGCCGUAAUCUUGGAAUGCUAGGUGUUCCAGUUCAAAAAAAAAGAAUAGUACUACUCUCUCUCUCUCUCUCUAUAUAUAUAUAGUAGCACUAUUCUAAUCCCGGGAUCAAAAUAGUUAUUUGGAUCACGAUCAGUCCUAUAUAGGGCUCUGUCGGGCCUCCCGAACUCCAGAAAACGCAAAAAACAAAACACCCGACCGACCCAUUCCCACCCCCACCUCCUCCUCCCGCACCGCAUCACCUCUUCCUGGAUCUCCCGACCACCUCCCGCCGCCUCCCCCUGACUCCGGUGCGGCUCCCGCCGCCGGCCCCUCGGCCCCAGCGCACCACCCCCGCCGCCGCCCCCGACCUCGCCGCCUCUCCUGCCGCCGACCAACAGACCUGAACGCCNNNNNNNNNNNNNNNNNNNNNNNNNNNNNNNNNNNNNNNNNNNNNNNNNNNNNNNNNNNNNNNNNNNNNNNNNNNNNNNNNNNNNNNNNNNNNNNNNNNNNNNNNNNNNNNNNNNNNNNNNNNNNNNNNNNNNNNNNNNNNNNNNNNNNNNNNNNNNNNNNNNNNNNNNNNNNNNNNNNNNNNNNNNNNNNNNNNNNNNNNNNNNNNNNNNNNNNNNNNNNNNNNNNNNNNNNNNNNNNNNNNNNNNNNNNNNNNNNNNNNNNNNNNNNNNNNNNNNNNNNNNNNNNNNNNNNNNNNNNNNNNNNNNNNNNNNNNNNNNNNNNNNNNNNNNNNNNNNNNNNNNNNNNNNNNNNNNNNNNNNNNNNNNNNNNNNNNNNNNNNNNNNNNNNNNNNNNNNNNNNNGGCACACACCCCCCCCACACACACACACGCUGCCGGCCACCAGAGCCGCCACCCCCAGUCAUGAGCUCCGCCGCCGCCGGCCUAGCCCCUACGCCACCUCUUCUCGUCGGCGUUCGUCUGCGAGAUCCCGCCUGCAGCAGUCGUCGGAUCCCGCUUCCGCACACUGGAUCGUGGGUGCCUUGUUCCUCCACGAGCCUGGAUCCAUGGCCACUGGUCAGAUCCAAGAUGGAUGUAGGGGCUCCCCCACGCGCCCCGGUGUUGGCUACUCCGUUCCUCAACGACCCACGCUGCUCUCCGCUCGCCCCCUGUCUCCCCUUGCUUCCUCUACUCACUAUCCCGGGCGCCGGUGGAUGAGGCUACCUACAGGUGCAAUGCCUGACUGCUCAACAUCGAUAGUCCCUCUCCAGUGCACCUUCCAGCAGCCACACCAUCGUUGAACUCCAUGUGUCGGUCGUGCAGGUCCGCCUUCUACCCAUAUGUGUGGCUGCAACAAGCUGCAGCGAACACCGCUCCUCUGCUCUCUCGUGAACUUCAGAUGCAUCAGUGUUUGGACCAUGGAGGAAUUUUAUCUGGGAGGCAUUCCGUGGAGAGAGAGACGCUGCAACCAUUUCUUCUUGUGGAUAUUUGCACGUUGUUGCCUUUCUGUUCUUGUAGCACAACCGCGAAGCUAAAUUCUGUUCUUGUAGCACAACUGCAAAGCUGAAGAAAAUUUUAAAGGUUGAGAUUUCACGGACAGGAACUUGAUCACUUCUCAUUCUUCUUCCCACUCAAAAAUAGUGUGUAUUUGUUUGUCUGGUAGUGUGCUCGUGCAAAAUGCAUGCGUGCAUUGUUUUUCUCAUUCCUGAAAAAAAUGAGUGUGUUUAUGUUGGUUUAACAAGAUACCAAUGCAAGGGAGUAGUUCUAUGUCUAUGGAAAACCCAAAAUUCUUUCUCUUUCUAAGAGAAAUAAAAGUAUGAAGUUCAAUUUAAAAAAUACUUGAUGCUUAUUUAAAAAUCAUAUUAUAUUAGGAAUAAAAUUAAGAAGUUCAAAUUAAAAAAAACAGAGAAGUUCGAAAUUUUAUUAAAAUCAAUAACAACUCUUUAUUCGAAAUAAAAAAUGUGAAGUUUAAAUUAGAAUAACAAAGAAGUGCAAAGUUUAUAAAGAACUCAGAUUUUUUCUUGUUACCGAAGAAUAAAAUGAUGAAGUUCAAAAUAAAAUAAAGGAAAAACUAAAAACAUGAUUUAAAAAAGAAAUUUUCUGUUUUUCAAAACACUAGAAGUUUAAAAAUUGAAAUAACAAAGUGAUUCGGUGUUUAUGAAAAAAAUCUAAGACUUUACCAUAAAAAACUAAAAUAUUCGUCGUUAUUAAAGAAUCAACCAUGAAGUUCAAGAAUUGAAAAAAAAAUUCAAACUCGAUGUUUAUUUUAAAAUCAAACACAAUUAUUUACUCAACAAAAAACUCAGAUAUUUUCACGUAAUCGAGAGAAGUUCAGAUUGAUAAUUGCCAGAAGUUCACGUACUACACGGUGUGCAUUUUGUAUGAAAAAAGAAUAAAAAAGCAAAGGCUAAAAAGUUUUUUUGCUAGAAGUUCAAGUGCUCUGUCCGGGGAAGUUCAAAAAAUUCUUGUGAGAGAGGUUGAACAAAAAAUACAUGACAGAAGUUCAAGAUGAAAAUAGCGGGAAGUUCAACUACUAUACGAAAUGCGUUUCAGAUAGGAAAAUAAGAAUAGAAAACAAAAAGCUUAAAAGAUUUUGUUGCUAGAAGUUCACGUGCUACUCCCGGUGAAGUUCGUGAUCUCUAGUGUGAGACGUCCGACCUUCAGUUACAUGUAAAAAACAGGCAAAAAAGACAUUGUUUUACGCAUUCAAAAAUAUAUUUUGAACCAUUACGAGUAUGAAAAACUCAUCAACACAAAAAAGUUGCGUGUUUUUAAUAGCUUUCCAUCGGUAUAUCAUUUUCUCAAUUACGGUAAGUGGUUUGAGAAUUACGGGCGAAAAACAUCACUUCAAAAAAUAGAGUGAAGUUCAAACAGACAUGCUCCAGAAGUUCAACUACUUCACGCAGUGCAUUUCCGUUCACGAUGAAUGCAGAAAUCAUUAUCUCGCCAUUUUCUAAUUUACCUCGAAACGACGAUAAUAUCAUUAGUGUAAGUUCAAGUCCUUGGUCGGAGAAAGUUAAAAAAAAAAAUUGUGAGAGACGUUUGUACAAAAGGAAUAUUAUUUGUGUAACACUUACGAAUGGAUGAGAAAAUUAGAAACAAAAAUAUGUCCCAGAAGUUCAACGUGAAAACAGCAGGAAGUUCACAUACUACGCUAAAUGAAUUUCAGAUGAAAAACUUUCAAAAUCGUCGCGAGUAUGAAAAAAUGAUCAACACGGGAAAGUUGCGUGUUUACAGCAGCUUUCCAUCGGUAUAUCACCCGCUCAAUUCCCGUGAGUGGAAUGGAGAGCUACAAGCAGUGGAUGAAGAUCUACGAGCAAAAAAAUCACGUGAAAAACAGAGUGAAGUUCAGGUGCACGCACCGAGAAGUUCAGGUUCUUCACGCGGUGCAUUUUUGAAGAAUCUGUUUCGCGGUAGAGGCAGAACGAAUGAUCCCGCCGUUUUCGGAAUUACUUGAAAACGACUAGGAAUCAGAGAAAACCAUCAACAUAAAAAAGUUUCGCAUUUUCCGUAGCUUUUCAACGGUAUAUUAGUCGCCCAAUUCCGAUAAAGUUUGUAGAAAUUAUGGUGAAAAUAUGUUGUUCGCCAUUUUUGAAACUGACUUAAAACCGUAAAGAAUUGGGAGAAACAAUACAUACCAAAAAGUUUCGCAUUUGUUCAAGCUUUCCAACGCCAUAUCAUUUGUUGCAUUCGGACGCAUGGUUAUAAAAUUAGCUCAAAAAUACGAACUCAUUAAGACUUGGACCAUUUUCUAAAUUACUCUUAAACCAUUCAAAAUUAGAAAAAAAAAUUCAAGACACAAAAGUAGCGCAUUUUCAUAAGCUUUCCAACGCCAUAUCAUAUGCCUCCAUUGGAUUAGCCGUUUAGAAAUGACAUUGAAAAAACAAACUCAGUUGUUCGGUUUAUGAAAUUUUACGUUUUUUCAAAUUACUCUUUAACCAUAGGGAAUUAGAAAAAAUUUCAACAUGUGGAAGGAGCGGUUUUGCAGCAGCUUUCCAACGCCAUAUUAUAUGCCUCAUUCCGAUAAACGGUUUAGAAAUGCGAUUGAAAUUACGAUUCACGUUUUUUGUGUGAAGAAAAACGGUUUUCAAAACUGCUCUUAAACCACUUACAUUUUGCAAAAAAUUUAACUUGGGUCAUGAUACUCAUGUCUAUAGCUUUCCAACGGUAUAUAGCAAGCCCUAUUUGGGCAAUGUUGCGGGAAGUUCAACCUAGCACAGGGGGAAGUUCAGGCGCGUUACUCAGGCAGUAAAAUCGCAAAAAACGCGAGUUCUUCACGACCCGAGUGCAAAAUCCGCCUAUGAGCGAGAUUUCUAUCUAAAACGAGUAUUUAGUUGCUAAAAAUCAUUUUAAGACUACACUUACAUCACAUGGAACACGACUAACCAGAAAAACUCGCGGUAGAAGGCACAGUUGCGAAGAUAGCCCGAAGGUCGGGUUUGUACAGAGAGAAGUUCAGGCGCGUUACUCAGGCAGUUCAGGUUGUGAUCAGAAUAUUAUUCUGAUCCCGUGAUUAAAAUAGUGUUUAUAUAUAUAGUAACACUAUUCUGAUCAUGGGAUCAGAAUAACUAUUUGGAUCACAAUGGGCUCUAUAAGGAGCGCGACGGUGUUGCCGAACUCCCGCAACUACCGUGACAGAAAUACCGACCCCGAUCUCAUCACCACCAAACUCCUGCCCCGCCCAGACCCACCUCCCCCGUGCCGCUGUGCGACCUCCCCGACUCCCCCGCCGUCAGCCGACCUUCAGGGAACCCCCGCCGCCGCCCGACCUCCUGCACGCCCCGCCGCCGCCCACCACAAACGUCGCCGUGGACGGACCCCGCCUCCUGCAACCCCGCAGCAGGCCUCCUCCCGGGGCCCAGCUGUUGGUCUCCUCGCGCGGACCCACCUUUCUCUCCGGCCACACGAGCUACCGCGUCGUCCCCUAGCGCCCAAGCGCCGCUGCCCUCACCUUCCUCCCCCGGUAGCAAGUGCCGCCACCCCCACCUGUCCAGCACCCCCUCCCCGGUGCUCCCUACCGGCCAGACCGACACCCAGCUCCGCUGCUCCCUAUGACGGUCGUCUCUCCUGUUGCUCGUUACCGACCACGACGGAGCGACCAGGCAGAGAUUUUGUAGCAGUUCUGGCUCUGAAAAAGUGGCAGGUCGAGAGAUUCGUCCUUCGCCUGCGUGGAUGCUGGCUACCGCAACAUGGAGCUAGGGCCUCCCUGGCCUGCGGCUUUCACCAACUACUGCGGAGCCGCACCGCAGCUGCUGUUUUUCAUGGGUUCGGGAUGAUUCUAGCCAUUAAAAACUAGCUGCAGCUCGUCCGCAAGCUCACUGCCUCCACCCUGGUGCUCCGCCUCAUCUUCCGAGGAUGCACAAGUUCUGUGACCAAAAUGGGACGAGCUGCAGCAGCAUCCAUACUGCUACUAGUAAUGCAAUCUAGUGAGGAAAGAAAAUUAAGCUGAAAAGUUCAGAGAUCCCCCUGCUGAAAGUUCAGAAAGAAAUACAGACAAAGUUGUAUGUUUCAUGAUAUGUGUGCGUGGUGAGUGGAUAGGAAAGAAAAUGAAGUUGUGGUGGAGAAAGAGGCCACCGCUUCUCACGUGGCCAUCCACUUACUCCGCUUCUCAAGUACCAUUAUUAUAUUACUCUUAAUCUAACUUACUAAGGAGAAUAUACUUCUUUAUAACUCGAGCCUAAUGGAAAGAAAUUGUAUUGUAAGGAAAAAUGUGCAUGCAUUAGUGCAUGUGGUUUGUUGAUGGAGUGCGUGCGCACUAGCUGUCUGUGCAUGUUCAAAAUAAAUAAAAUUCGACAGUUCUAAAAAAGUGUUUUGGGUGUACAAUUUUUCCCGUUGAUUUUCUAGUUAUUGAAAGAAAAUAACCAACAAGAUCAAAUUAAAACAAAAGCAGCUCAAUAUUGGUAAAACAACAUAUAUUUUUCAGCGUUGCUAAAAAAGCCCAAGAAGGUCAAAUUAAAAUAAUGGAGCAGUUCGAAUAAUAAUAAACCAUGAAGUUCAAUUUCAAAAGAUGGAGCAGUUUGAUAUUAUAUUACAAAAACUCGAAUUUUUCAUGUUACUAACAAAAACCAAGAAGUUCGAUUUGAAAUAAUGAAGAAGUUUGACAUUUACUAGAAGAACUCAAAUUUUUCACAUUUCUAGAAAUACACAAAGAUGUUCAAAAUUUUGAAAAAAUAUAAUGGUUCGAUGUCUAUAAAAAAUCAUUUUUUUUGUUGCUAAAGGGUAGCAUCGUUUUACAAAACAACCAAAAAAACAAAAGAAGAUCGAAAAAUGUUUUAAAAAACAACCAUCCACAUUUAUAAAAAAACUAGAAGUUCACAUUAAAUUAACGGGAGCGGUCCGAUGUUUAUGACAAAACUAUGAUUUUCCCCGUUACUAAAGAACAAACCAAGAAGUUCAAAAAUAAAAAAGAGGCAGUUUAAAAAGUUUUAAAAGAUGGUGUUUCUACAUUUAACUAAAAAAUGGAGAAAGUUAAAUUUUAAUAACAUAGAAGUUCAAAAUGUUUAUAAAAAACCAGGAAGGUCAAAUUAAAAAAACCGAGUAGUUCAACAAGUUUGUAAACAUGGAUUCGCCACUAUUUUUUUUAAGAUCAGGAAGUUCAAAUUUAAAGAAGUGAGCAGUUCAAUGUUUAUUACAUAAUUAGGACUUUUCCAUAUACUAAUGAAUAACACCAAAAAGUCUUAAUUUAAAAAAAUGAAGUUAUUUGAUGUUUAUAAAAAUCUUAGAUUUCCCCCCAUACUAAAGGUACACAAUGAUGUUCAAAACAAAAAAGGUAGAGUGUCUAUAAAAAACUCAGAUAUUUUCACCUAACCGAGAGACGUUCAGAUUGAUAACUGCCAGAACUUCACGUACUACACGGUGUGCAUUUGUAUUAAAAAAGAAUGAAAAAUCAAAAGCUAAAAGUUUUGUUGCUAGAAGUUCAAGUGCUCGGCCCGAGAGAGUUUAACUUUUUUUGUGAGAGAGGUUGAACAAAAAUAUGUGACAGAAGUUCAAGAUGAAAACAACGGGAAGUUCAACUCGUUUCAGAUAAGAAUGUAAGAAUAGAAAACAAAAAGCUUAAAAGGUUUGUUGCAAGAAGUUCACGUGCACCUCUGUGCAUGGUUCAGAAUUUAUAUUGCGGGACAUCCGACCUCCAAUUACAUGUUUUAAAAUGGCAAAAAAUGACGUGUGACCUUUAAUUGGGUGUAAUUCGACGUAUACACAAAAUACGUGACAGAAGUUCAAGGUGAAAACAACGAGAAGUUCAACUACUGAAAGGAAUGCAUUUCAAAUGAGAAUAAAAGUAUAGAAAAUUAAAAGCUUAAAAGGUUUGUUGAAAGAAGUUCAAGUGCUCUGUCCGGGGAAAUUCAAAAAUUCUUACGAGAGAGGCUCAUCUUGUAUUUCCAUGUUCGAUUUUUUCCGUAUAAAAAUCGAAUACAAUUCUUUACUCAAAAUAUAAAAAGGUGAAGUUCAAAUUGAAAUAACACAGAAGUUCGGAGUUUAUUAAAACCUAGAAUUUACCUUUUCAAGAAAUAAAAAGCACAACGGCAUUUUUUGCACUUUUGAAAACAAUCUCAUAAACGUAAAAAUGGUUGCUAGAAGUUCAAGUGCUCGACGAGGGAAAGUUCAAAAAUUCUUGUGAGAGAGGUUCACCGUGUAUUUAGAUGUCCAAAAUACAUAAAAAAAUAUGUUGUUUUUUGUGUUUUAAAAUAACUCUCUCAAACCAGAGAGAAGUUCAAAGUGAUAACAACCGGAAGUCCACGUACUAUAUGGUGUGUAAUUCAUAUAAAAACAAUAAAGUGAAACAAAGUGAAGUUCAAAAAUACAUGCCCAAGAAGUUCAACUAUUUCAUGCAGUGCAAAAAAUAGCACGUCAAAAAACAACACGUCAAAAAUUAGAGUGAAGUUCAAGCAGACAUGCCCGAGAAGUUCAGCUACUUCACGCAAUGCAUUUCCAUUCGAGAUGAAGGCAAAAAUCAUGAUCUCGUCAUUUUCUAAUUUACUUUAAAAUGGCAGGAAUAUCAUUUGUGUAAGUUCAAGUCCUCGGUCGGAGAAAGUUAAAAAAAUAUUGUGAAAGAGGUUUGUACAAAAAGAAUAUCAUUUGUGUAACACUAACGAGAAUGGAUGGGAAAAUUACAAACAAAAAUAUGUCACGGAAGUCCAACGUGAAAACAGCAGGAAGUUCAACUACUACACUGAAUGAAUUUCACAAGAAAAAACUUUUAAAACCGUCACGAGUAUGAAAAAAUGAUCAACACGGAAAAGUUGCAUGUUUAUAGCAGCUUUCCAUUGGUAUAUCACUUGCUUAAUUCCGGUGAGUGAAUGAAGAGCUACGAGCAAAAAAAGCACGUGAAAAACAGAGUGAAGUUCAAGCAGAACUGCCACAGAAGUUCAAGUACUUCACGCGAUGCAUUUUCGACAAAUCUGUUUCGCGAUAAAGGCAGAACGAGUGAUCUCGCCGUUUCUGAAAUUACUUGAAAAUGGCUGGGAUUCAGAGAAAACCAUCAACAUGGAAAAGUUUUGCAUUUUUUGUAGCUUUUCAACAAUACAUUAUUUGCCCCGUUCCGAUGAAGUUUGUAGAAAUUAUGGCGAAAAUAUGUUUUUAUCCAUUUUCAAAAUCAACGUAAAAUCGUAAUGAAUUUGGAGAAACAAUAUAUACCAAAAAGUUUCGCAUUUGUUCAGGCUUUCCAACGCCAUAUCGUUUGCUAUGUUCGGACGUAUGAUUAAAAAAAUAGAUCGAAAAUACAAACUUGGUAGAACUUGUACCGUUUUCUAAAUUACUUUUAAACCAUUCCAAAUUAGAAAAACCUUUCAACAAGAGAAAAAUGCGCAUUUUCAUAAGCUUUCCAACUCCAUAUCAUUUGUCUCAAUUGGAUUAGGCGUUUAGAAAUGGCAUCAAAAAUACGAACUCGGUUGUUCGGUUUGCAAAUUUUUACGAUUUUCCACAUUACUCUUUAACCAUAGGGAAUUAGAAAAAACUUUCAGCAUGUAGAAGGAGCGGUUUUACCGCAGCUUUCCAACACCAUAUUAUUUGCCUCAUUCCGAUAAAUGGUUUAUAAAUGCAAUCGAAAAUACGAUUCAAGUUUUUUGUAUGAAGAAAAAACGGUUUUCAAAACUGCUCUUAAACCACUUACAUUUUACCAAAAUUUUAAGAUGGGUCAUGAUAUUGGUGUUCAUAGCUUUCCAACGGUAUAUCGCAAUCCCCAUUUGGGCAAUCUUGACGGAAGUUCAACCUAGCACUAGGGGAAGUUCAGGUCGAACAAAUCAGGCAGUAAAAUUGCAAAAAACACAAUUUCAUCAUGACCUGAGAGCAAAAUCCGCCAGCGAGCGAGAUUUAUAUUUAAAACCAGUAUUUAGUUGCUAAAAAAUAUUUCUAGAUUACAUUAACAUCAUAUAGAACACUACUAACCAGAAUAAUUCAGUGGGGAAGCCACGGUUGCAAAGAUAGCCCAAAGGUCGGGUUCGUACAGAGGGAAGUUCAGGCGCGUGUACAAACAAAAAUACGUCACAUAAGUUCAACAUGAAAACAACAUGAAGUUCAACUACUACGCUGAAUGAAUUUCAGAUGAAAAACUUUUAAAAUCGUUGCGAGUAUGAAAAAAUGAUCAACACGGGAAAGUUGCAAGUUUACAGUAGCUUUCCAUCGGUAUAUCACUUGCUCAAUUCAGGUGAGUGGAUGGAUAGCUUGGAGCAGUGGAUUGAGAUAUACGAGCAAAAAAAGCACGUGAAAAACAGAGUGAAGUUCAAGUACACAUGCCGAGAAGUUUAGGUUCUUCACGCGGUGCAUUUUCGAAGAAUCAGUUUCGCGAUAAAGGCAGAACGAAUGAUCUCGCCAUUUUCACAAUUACUUAAAAACGUCUAGGAAUCAGAGAAAAUCGUCAACAUGAAAAAAAAUUACAUUUUCCGUAGCUUUUCAGCGAUAUAUUAUUUGCCCCAUUCCGAUAAAGUAUGUAGAAAUGAUGCCAAAAAUACGUUUUUAGCCAUUUUCCAAUUUGACUUAAAGCUGUAAGGAAUUAGGAGAAGCAAUAUAUAUGAAAAAGUUUCACAUUUGCUCAAGCUUUCCAAUGCCAUAUCAUUUGUUGCAUUCGGAUGUACGGUUAAAAAAUUACCUUGAAAAUACGAACUCGGUGGAACUUGUACCGUUUUCUAAAUUAUUUUUAAACUGUUCCAAAUUAGAAAAAACUUUUAACAUGAAAAAGUAGUGCAUUUUCACAAGCUUUCCAAUUCCAUAUCAUUUGCCUCAAAUGGAUUAGCCGUUUAGAAAUUACAUUGAAAAUACAAACUCGGCUGUUCGGUUUGGGAAAUUUUAUGUUUUUUCAAAUUACUCUUUAACCAUAGGGAAUUAGAGAAAACUUUCAACAUGUGGAAGGAGCGGUUUUGCAGCAACUUUCCAACGCCAUAUUAUAUGCCUCAUUCCAAUAAAUGGUUUAUAAACGCGAUCGAAAAUAUGAUUCAUGUUUUUGUGUGAAGAAAAAACAGUUUUCCAAACUGCUCUUAAACCGCUUACAUUUUGCCGAAAAUUUAAGUUGGGUCAUAAUAUUGGUGUCCAUAGCUUUCCAAUGGUAUAUCGCAAGCCCCAUUUGGACACUUUUUAGCUGAAGUUCAACCCAAUACUCGGGGAAGGUCAGGCGCGUUACUCGGGGAAGUUCAACCCAAUUCCCGAGUUACACAACCUGACCUUCCCGUGUACUAGGUUGAACUUCAACUAAAAAGUGCCCAAACGGGGCUUGCGAUAUACCGUUGAAAGCUAUGGACACGAGUAUCAUGACCCAAGUUGAAUUUUUGGCAAAAUCUAAGCAGUUUAAGAGCAGUUUUGAAAACUGUUUUUUCUUCAUACGAAAAACGUGAAUCGUAUUUUCGAUCACAUUUCUAAACCGUUUAUCGGAAUGAGGCAAAUAAUAUGGCAUUGGAAAGCUGCUACAAAACUGCUCCUUCCACAUGUUGAUAGUUUUCUCUAUUUCCCUAUGGUUGAAGAGUAAUUUGGAAAAUCAUAAAAUUUCACAAACUAAAUAGCCGAGUUCGUAUUUUUGAUGUCAUUUCUAAAUGGCUAAUCCAAUUGAGGCAAAUAAUAUGGCGUUGGAAAGCUUAUGAAAAUGCGCUACUUUUUUAUGUUGAAAGUUUUUUUCUAAUUUUGAAUGGUUUAAAAGUAAUUUAUAAAACAAUACAAGUUCCACCGAAUUCGUAUUUUCGAGGUAAUUUUUUAACCGUACGUCUGAAUGCAGCAAAUGAUAUGGAGUUGGAAAGCUUGAACAAAUGCAAAUUUUUUUGGUAUAUAUAUUAUUUCUCUCAAUUCUUUACGAUUUUAAGUCAAUUUAAAAAAUGCCUAAAACGUAUUUUCGCCGUAAUUUCUACAAACUUUAUCGGAAUGGGGCAAAUAGUAUACCGCUGAAAAGCUACGGAAAAUGCGAAACUUUUUCAUGUUGAUGUUCUUCUCUGAUUCCUAGCCGUUUUCAAGUAAUUUUGAAAACAACGAGAUCAUGUGUUCUGCUUUUGUCGCGAAACAGAUUCUUCGAAAAUGCAUCCCGUGAAGAACUUGAACUUCUCGGUAUAUAUACUUGAACUUCACUCUGUUUUUCAUGUGCUUUUUUUUCAUUGCUCUCCAUCCACUCACCGAUAUUGAGCAAGUGAUAUCCAGAUGGAAAGAUGUUGUAGACACACAACUUUCCCGUGUUCAUCAUUUUUUCAUACUUGCGAUGGUUUUAAAAGUUUUUCAUCUCAAUUUCAUUCAGUGUAGUAGUUGAACUUCCUGCUGUUUUCACGUUGAACUUCUGUGACGUAUUUUCGUUUAUAAUUUUUCUCAUACGUUCGCCAGUGUUACACAAAUGAUAUUCUUUUUGUACAAACCCCUCUCACAAUAAUUUUUUUAACUUUCUUCGACCGAGGACUUGAACUUAUAACAAAAAAAAUUGGAUCUUUCCUUUCAACUUUCUCAUAUUAAACACACACCAUGCAGUACAUGAAUUUUUUCUAUUUUUAUAAUUUGAAUUUUUUAUUUUCUUUUUAAGAUCAAAUUGCUCCCAAAUAAUAACUGAACUUCUUUGUGGAUUGAGAUAAUUAUUUUAAAACCCCAAAAAACCAAAAAAAUGUGUUUUCGAACAUGGAAAUACAAGGUGAACCUCUCUCACAAGAAUUUUUGAACUUCCUCGGACAGAGCACGUGAACUUAUUGCAACAAACCUUUUAAGCUUUUAGUUUUCUAUUCUUAUAUUCUUAUUUGAAACACAUUCUGUGUAGUAGUUGAACUUCCCGUUGUUUUCACCUUCAACUUUUGUCAUGUAUUUUUGUUCAAGCACUCUUACAAGGAUUUUUGAACUUUCUCGGGCCAAGCACUUGAACUUCUAACAAUAAAACUUUUAGCCUUUGCUUUUUUCAUUAUUAUUUUUCAUACAAAACGCAUACUGUGUAGUACGUGAACUUCUGGCAGUUAUCAAUCUAAACUUUUCUCGGUUACCUGAAAAUAUCUGAGUUUUUUAUAGACAUCGAACUGGUCUAACUUUUUUAGUUUCAUGGUAAUUUUUGUAAACUUUAUCGGAAUGUGGCAAAUAAUACGCCAUUGGAUAGCUAUAAAACUUGCGAAACUUUUUCAUUUAUAAAGUUUUCUCUAAUUCCCUGCCGUUUUUAAGUAAUUUAGAAAAUGAUGAGAUCAUGAUUUCUGCCUUCAUCAUGAAUGGAAAUGCACUGCGUGAAGUAGUUGAACUUCUAGGGCAUGUCUGUUUGAACUUCACUCUAUUUUUGACAUGCUAUUUUUUGCCCGUAACUCACAAACGGCUUAUCGGAAUUGAGCAAAUGAUAUGCCGAUGAAAAGUUGUUUAAAACACACAACCUUUUCAUGUUGAUCAGUUUUUCAUACUCGUGACGGUUCAAAAUAUUUUUUUGAAUCCAUAAAAAUGUGUUUUAAUGGUAUACCUAAAACUUUUAAACCAUUCAUCGGAAUAUAGCAUAUAAUAUACCGUUGUAAAGCUUAUGAAUAGGAGCAUCUUUUUCAUGUAGACAAACGUUACAAAUUUGUUGUUGUUUGAGAGCAGUUUUAAAAAUGGCAAAAACAACAUCACUUUUUUUCCUGUUUUUUACAUGUAAUUGAAGGUUGGACGUCUCGCACUAGAGAUCUUGAACUUCACCGAGAGGAGCACCUGAACUUGUUUCAACAAACCUUUGAAGCUUUUUAGUUUUGUAUUCUUUUUAAUCUCACCUAAAAUGCACUCGGUGUAGUAGUUGAACUGUUUGCAGUUUUCACUUUGAACUUCAGUUGCAUAUUUUUAUUUGUAUUUCCUCACCCUAUUCGACGGACUUGCACAAAUGAUAUACCUGUUGAAACUUGUUGAGAAGACUCAACUUUUUUCUAAUACGGUAAAACUUUUGUUCGAACAACAUACACCAAUUUAUUUUUACAGUUUAUUUUGUUAUAAAGUAUACGAUACACCCUUGGAAAGUUUUCGAACAAGAGGAACUUUUUUCAUCUAGAGCAUUUUUGUUCCAAAUUUGUAAUCGAUUGAGAGAAUUAUUUUGAAAAAUGAGAAACAACAUCUUUUUUGUGUUUUUUGAACAUGUAAACACACAGUAAACCUCUUUUUCAAGAAUUUUGAACUUCAAGGGCAAAGCACAUGAACUUCUAAGAACAAAAAUAAUAAUUAGAUUUUGGUUUUUUGUUUCUUUUUCCCAUAUGAAAUACACAACAUGUAGUACGUGAACUUCUGGCUGUUAUCAGUUUGAACUUCUCUCUGUUUCACUUUAGCAAUGUAAAAAUUUGAGUUUUUAUAGACAUCGAACCGCUCUAACUUUUUUAUUUGAAACUUCUUUGUGUGUUUAUUAGAAAUGCAAAAAUUGGAGUUUUGUUAGAAACAUUGAACUUCUUCGUUAUUUCAAGUAACCAGAAAAAACGAGUUUUGUAAUAAAUAUCAAACUGCUCUGCUUUUAAAAAUUGAACUUCUUGGUUUUAUUAUUUAGUAACAAGAAGAAACUAAGUUUUUAAUAUGCAUUGAACAACUCCAUUUUUUUAUAUUGAACUUGAUGGUUUUAAUCUUUCGUGACGCCCCCGAUUCAAUCAUACACUAAUCAUACACGCAAAUGUGUAUGAUCAAGAUCAGGGACUCACAGAAAGAUAUCACAACACAACUCUAGACACAAAUAAAAUAAUACAAGCUUUAUAUUACAAACCAGGGGCUUCGAGGGCUUGAAUACAAGCUCGAUACACAAAAGAGUCAGCAGAAGUAACAAUAUCUGAGUACAGACAUAAAUUAAACAAGGAUGCCUUAAGAAGGCUAGCACAAACAUCAAUGAUCGAAGAGGCAAGGCCUCCUGACUGGGACCUCCUAACUACUCCUGGUCGUCGGCGGCCUCCACGUAGCAGUAUCCGUCAGCAGUGGCAUCUGGCUCCAGGGAUCCACCAUCUAGUUGCAUCAACAGGAAAGAAGAAAGAAGGGGGAAAAGGGGGUAGCAAAGCAACCGUGAGUACUCAUCCAAAGUACUCGCAAGCAUCAGAUCUAUACUAAGUAUGCAUUGGUAUAAAAUGGAAGGUUUGUAUCUGUGGACAGAACUGCAGAAUGCCAGAAUAGAGGGGGAAGGCCUAGCCUAUCAAAGACUAGCAUCUUCGAGCAGCUCCGAGCAUCUUGCAGCAUGUAGGAGAGUAAAGAAUAGACGUUUAAUUAACAAACAUGUUGUAACAUUAAUGCCCAGAGAUCCUUCAUUGACUCCCUGCGAGAAAGCAAUCCUGGAGCUACAUAUAUCAAGUAUCCAUUUGUAGUUGUAUAAGAUCAGAAUAUAGGUCUGAACGUCCGUUAUCGUGGACACGACUAUUAAUAGAUAAUCUUUCCUGCAGGGGUGCACCAUGUUUUCCAACACGCUUGAUUGCUCUGGCCGGACACACUUUCCUGGGUCAUGCCCGGCCUCGGAAGAUCAACACGUCGCAGCCUGAUACGUCUCCAACGUAUCAAUAUUUUUUUAUUGUUCCAUGCUAUUAUAUUACCCCUUUUGGAUGUUUAUGUGCUUUAUUUUACAAAUUUAUAUCAUUUUUUGGGACUAACCUAUUAACCGGAGGCCCAACCCAUAUUGUUGUUUUAUUGCCUGUUUCAGUAUUUCGAAGAAAAGGAAUAUCAAACGGAGACCAAACGGAAUGAAACCUUCAGCAGCGUUAUUUUUGGAAAGAAUAUGAUCCUGGAGACUUGGAGUUCAUGUCAGAAGAUCCCCGAGGACUCCACGAGAUAGGCAGGCAUGCCCCUUGUCUCGUGGGCCCCUCGAGCACCUCCCGACCAACUUCUUUCGCCUAUAUAAGCCUACGUACCCUAAAACCAUAGAAUAUCAAGAUAUAUCAGGAGUUCCGCCGCCGCAAGCCUCUGUAGCCACCAACAACCUCUCGGGAGUCUGUUCCGGCACCCUGCCGGAGGGGGAACCCAUCAUCGGUGGCCAUCUUCAUCAUCCCGGUGCUAUCCAUGACGAGGAGGGAGUAGUUCACCCUCGGGGAUGAGGGUAUGUACCAGUAGCUAUGUGUUUGAUCUCUGUCUCUCGUGUUCUCUCUCGUGUUCUCUCUAUGGCACGAUCUUGAUGUCUCGCGAGCUUUGCUAUUAUAGUUGGAUCUUAUGAUGUUUCUCCCCCUCUACUCUCUCGUGAUGAAUUGAGUUUCCCUCUUGAAGUUAUCUUAUCGGAUUGAGUCUUUUAUUUGAGAACACUUGAUGUAUGUCUUGCCGUGUUUAUCUGUGGUGACAAUGGGAUAUCACGUGCCACUUGAUGUAUGUUUUGGUGACCAACUUGCGGGUUCCGCCCAUGAAUCUAUGCAUAGGGGUUGGCACACGUUUUCUUGACUCUCCGGUAGAAACUUUGGGGCACUCUAUGAAGUACUUUGUGUUGGUUGGAUGAAUCUGAGAUUGUGUGAUGCAUAUCAUAUAAUCAUGCCCACGGAUACUUGAGGUGACAAUGGAGUAUCUAGGUGACAUUAGGGCUUCGGUUGACUUGUGUCUUAAGGUGUUAUUCUAGUACGAACUCUUGAAUAGAUUGAUCCGAAAGAAUAACUUUGAGGUGGUUUCGUACCCUACCAUAAUCUGUUCGUUUGUUCUCCGCUAUUAGUGGCUUUGGAGUGACUCUUUGUUGCAUGUUGAGGGCUUGUUAUAUGAUCUAUCUAUGUUAUUAUUGUUGAGAGAACUUGCACUAGUGAAAGUAUGAACCCUAGGCCUUGUUUCCUAUCAUUGCAAUACCGUUUACGCUCACUUUUAUCAUUAGUUACCUUGUUGUUUUUAUAUUUUCAGAUUACAAAAACCUAUAUCUACUAUCCAUAUUGCACUUGUAUCACCAUCUCUUCGCCGAACUAGUGCACCUAUACAAUUUACCAUUGUAUUGGGUGUGUUGGGGACACAAGAGACUCUUUGUUAUUUGGUUGCAGGGUUGUUUGAGAGAGACCAUCUUCAUCCUACGCCUCCCACGGAUUGAUAAACCUUAGGUCAUCCACUUGAGGGAAAUUUGCUACUGUCCUACAAACUUGUGCAUUUGCAGGCCCAACAACGUCUACAAGAAGAAGGUUGUGUAGUAGACAUCAAGCUCUUUUCUGGCGCCGUUGCCGGGGAGGUGAGUGCUUGAUGGUAUAUCUUUAGAUCUUGCAAUCGAAUCUUUUUGUUUCUUGUUUUAUCGCUAGUUUGGUCUAUAAAAGAAAACUACAAAAAAUGGAAUUGAGUUUGUCUCAUACGCUUCAUCUUUUUAAUAUCUUUCGUGAGUAUGAUGAAAAGGAAAAUUGUGCUCAAGUGCUAGAAGAAGAAUGCAUUAAAAUGUUUUGUAGUAGAUCUUUGUAUGAUGGGAAUGAUUGCAAUGUUGUUAGUAUGAAUUCCUUGAAUAUCCAUGAUGCUAAUGAUAUGCAAAGCCACAAGCUUGGGGAAGCUAUGUUUGAUGAAGAUAUUUUUUUGUCCCCCAAGUUUUGAUGAGCAAAUUUAUUAUGAUGAAAGCAUGCCUCCUAUUUAUGAUGAUUAUAUUGAUGAAAGUGGGUUUGGAAGAGUGUCAACUUUAGGAAGUAAUGAUCCCACUAUUUUGGAGGAUGUUGAAUAUUAUUGUGAUAAUUAUGAAAGUGGAUUUGGAGAGGUCAUGACUUUAUUUAGUGAUGAUUCCACUAUUUCAGAAGAGGUCCCAAUUGAUUAUGAGAACAAAGUUGCUAUCUAUGAUGAUUAUUGUGAUGACUUAUAUGCUAUUAAGAAUAAUGAUAACCAUGAAACUUGUCAUCAUGAUUUUAGUUUUCAAUUGGAUUAUGCCUCACAUGAUAAUUAUUUUGUUGAGUUUGCUCCCACUACUAUUCAUGAGAAGAAUUUUGCUUAUGUGGAGAGUAGUAAAUUUUCUAUGCAAGUAGAUCAUGAAAAGAAUGCUUUAGGUGUUGGUUAUAUUGUUGAAUUCAUUCAUGAUGCUACUGAAAAUUAUUAUGAGGGAGGAAUAUAUGCUUGUAGGAAUUGCAAUAAUAUUAAGUUUCCUCUCUAUGUGUUGAAAAUCUUGAAGUUAUGCUUGUUUUACCUUCCUAUGCUAGUUGAUUAUUGUUCCCAUAAGUUGUUUGCUCACAAAAUCCCUAUGCAUAGGAAGUGGGUUAGGCUUAAAUGUGAUAUUCAUAUGCUUCAUGAUGCUCCGGUUACGUUUCAAUUUUUAUCUUUUAUUUGAGCAUCAUUGCCAUCAUCAUGCCUAGCUAGAAAGGCAUUAAAGAAAAGCGCUUGUUGGGAGACAACCCAAUAUUUAUCCUUAAUGUUUUUGUGUGUUUACAUGAUUAUGAUACUGUAGUAAUCAUGUUUUAUAGCUUUUGUUUCAAUAAAGUGCCAAGUAAGACCUUUAUGAUAGCUCACGGUGAUAGUUGUGUUGAUCCUGCUGAAAAUCAGAAACUUUUGCACCCAGUAAAUUAGUUUUUCUAAUUCACAUAAACGUGCUUCUGAUCUGAUUCUUUUUGCUCUGUAUUGGUACACAAAUUUCUUAGGACUUCCUAAUUUGGUAGGAUUUUUGGAGUUCCAGAAGUAUACUUUUGAUAUAGAUUACUACAGAUUGUUCUGUUUUUGACAGAUUCUGUUUUUCGUGUGUUGUUUUCUUAUUUUGAUGCAUCUAUGGCUAGUAUUAAGGGUAUGAACCAUAGAUAAGUUGGAGUACAGUAUAUAUUACACCAAUAUGAAUUUAGAAUGAGUUCAUUACAGUACCUAAGUGGUGGUUUUAUUUUCUUAUACUAACGGAGCUUACGAGUUUUCUGUUGAGUUUUGUGUUGUGAAGUUUUCAAGUUUUGGGUAAGGAUUCGAUGGAUUAUGGAAUAAGGAGUGGCAAUAGCCUAAGCUUGGUGAUGCCCAAGGCACCCCAAGGUAAUAUUCAAGGACAACCAAGAGCCUAAGCUUGGGGAUGCCCCGGAUGGCAUCCCCUCUUUCGUCUUUGUUCAUCGGUAACUUUACUUGGAGCUAUAUUUUUAUUCACCACAUGAUAUGUGUUUUGCUUGGGGCGUCAUUUUAUUUUGUUAGUAUUUGCUUGCUGUUAUCUAGAAUAAUGUUUUGUAUAUUUAUUUUCAAUAAAAAGUCAAGGAUAGCCUUUGCCAUGCUUAUUUUGCUAGUAUACAUGUUGCUGUUUGAAAACAGAAAGUUUACCGUUGUUGCAAAAAUUCCCUAGAAAAGUCAUAGAAUGGUAUAAUGUUGAAACUUUUUGCAUAUUUAGAUCUGAUAAAUUUACUACAGUGGGAAUUUUCCCUCAUAAAUUUUGGAGUUAGGGAAGUAUUGAUACUCUUGCAUUCUUUACAGACUGUACUGUUUUGGCAGAUUGCUGUUAUGUUUGCAUUGUUUGCAUAUGUUUGCUUGUUUAAUGAUUCUAUUUGAGGAUACGAGUAUUAAAUAUGCAGAGGCAUUUAGUAUGCAAUGUUGAAUAAUAAUUUUAGUGAUUUGUUACAGUAGAAAAUGAUAAGGUUUUGCAUUGGUUUAUACUAACCUAUCUCACGAGUUCUUGUUGAGUUUGGUGUGGAUGAAGCUUUUGAUAAAAAAAGAAACCAUGAUAUGAGAGGAAUUAAGGAGACACAAAAGUUCAAGCUUGGGGAUGCCCAAGGCACCCCAAGAUGAUAUUCCAAGAAGUAUCAAGCAUCUAAGCUUGGGGAUGCCCCGGUAGGCAUCCCACCUUUCUUCUUCAACAACUAUCGGUUAGUAUCGGUUGAGCCUAAGUUUUUGCUUCUUCACAUGAGUUGUGCUAUCCUUGCAUUGUCAUUUUAUUUGGCUUUGCUUGUUGUUUGAAUAAGAUACCAAGAUCUGAAAUUCCUUAAUGUUAGAGAGUCUUCACAUAGUUGCACAAUUAUUCGACUACUCAUUGAUCUUCACUUAUAUCUUUCGGAGUAGUUUGUCAUUUGUUCUAGUGCAUCACUUAUAUCUUUUAGAGCACGGCGGUGGUUAUAUUUUGUAGAAAUUGAUAGUCUCUCAUGAUUCACUUAUAUUAUUUUGAGAGUCUUUUAGAAAAGCAUGGUAUUUGCUAUGGCUACAAAGUUGGUCCUAGAAUGAUGAGCAUCCAAGUUGGGUAUAAUAAAAAUUAUCAUAGAAAGUGAAUUGGAUGCUAUGAUCAUUUUGAUGCUUGAUAAUUGUUUUGAGAUAUGGAGGUAGUGAUAUUAAAGUCAUGCUAGUUGGGUGAUUAUGAAUUUAAAGAAUGCUUGUGUUGAAGUUAGCAAGUCCCAUAGCAUGCACGUAUGGUUAAAGUUGUGCAACAAAUUUGAAACAUGAAGUGUACCUGGCUUGUGCAUCCUUAUGAGUGGUGGUCGAGGACGAGCGAUGGUCUUUUCCUACCAAUCUACCCCCCUAGGAGCAUGCGCGUAGUGCUUGAUUUUUUAUGACUUCUAAAUUUUUGCAAUAAGUAUAUGAGUUCUUUUGACUAAUGUUGAGUCCAUGGAUUAUACGCACUUUUACCUUUCCGCCACUGCUAGCCUCUUCGGUGCCGUGCAUUGCCCUUUCUCACCUUGAGAGUUCGUGCAAACUUCGCCGGUGCAUCCAAACCCCGUGAUACGAUACGCUCUAUCACACAUAAACCUCCUUAUAUCUUCCUCAAAACAGCCACUAUACCUACCUAUUAUGGCAUUUCCAUAGCCAUUCCGAGAUAUAUUGCCAUGCAACUUUCCACCGUUCCGUUCUUCAUCAUCAUGACAUACUUUACUUUUGUCAUAUUGCCAUUGCAUGAUCAUGUAGUUGACAUCGUAUUUGUGGCCAAGCCACCAUGCAUUAUUUUUCAUACAUGUCACUCUUGAUUCAUUGCACCAUCCCGGUACACCGCCGGAGGCAUUCAUAUAGAGUCAUAUCUUGUUCUAGUUUCGAGUUGUAAUUCAUAUGUUGUAAUCAAUAGAACUAUGAUGAUCAUCAUUAUAAGAGCAUUGCCCAAAGAAAAAAAAAGAAAAAAAAAAGAAGAAAGGCCAAAAAAAGAAAGGCCCAAAAAAAGAAAAAAAGGGGAAAAAAGAAAAUAAAUAAAAAGGGCAAUGUUACUAUCUCUUUUUCCACACUUGUGCUUCAAAGUAGCACCUUGUUCUUCAUGUAGUGAGUAUCAUAUAUUGUGCUUCAAAGUAGCACCAUGUUUUUCAUAUAGUGAGUCUCAUAAGUUGUCUUUUUCAUACUAGUGGGAAUUUUUCAUUAUAGAACUUGGCUUGUAUAUUCCUACGAUGGGCUUCCUCAAAUGCCCUAGGUCUUCGUGAGCAAGCAAGUUGGAUGCACACCCACUAGUUUUCUUUUGUUGAGCAUUCAUUUAUAGCUCUAGUGCAUCUAUUGCAUGGCAAUCCCUACUCCUCAUGUUGACAUUAAUUGAUGGGCAUCUCCAUAGCCCGUUGAUUAUCCUUGUCAAUGUGAGACUUUCUCCUUUUUUGUCUUCUCCACACAAUCCCCAUCAUCAUAUUCUAUUCCACUCAUAGUGCUAUAUCCAUGGCUCACGCUCAUGUAUUGCGUGAGGAUUGAGAAAGUUUGAGAUUAUUUAAGUAUGAAACAAUUGCUUGGCUUGUCAUCGGGGGUAUAGAAGUUGGGAACAUCUUUGUGUGACGAAAAUGAAGCAUAGCUAACUAUAUGAUUUUGUAGGGAUGAACUUUCUUUUGCCAUGUUAUUUUGAGAAGACAUGAUUACUUUUAUUAGUAUGCUUGAAGUGUUACUAUUUCUUUUAUCAAUAUGAACUUCUAUAUUGAAUCAUUUGGAUCUGAACAUUCAUGCCACAAUAAAGAAAAUUACAUUGAAGAAUUAUGCUAGGUAGCAUUCCACAUGAAAAAUUCUGUUUUUAUCAUUUACCUACUCGAGGACGAGAAGGAAUUAAGCUUGGGGAUGCUUGAUAAGUCUCCAACGUAUCUAUAAUUUUUUAUUGUUCCAUGCUAUUAUAUUACCCCUUUUGGAUGUUUAUGGGCUUUAUUUUACACAUCUAUAUCAUUUUUUGGGACUAAUCUAUUAACCGGAGGCCCAACCCAUAUUGUUGUUUUAUUGCCUGUUUCAGUAUUUCGAAGAAAAGGAAUAUCAAACGGAGUCCAAACGGAAUGAAACCUUCGGCAGCGUUAUUUUUGGGAAGAAUAUGAUCCUGGAGACUUGGAGUUCAUGUCAGAAGAUCCCCGAGGACUCCAUGAGAUAGGAGGGCGCCCCCCUGUCUCGUGGGCCCCUCGAGCACCUCCCGACCGACUUCUUUCGCCUAUAUAAGCCUACGUACCCUAAAACCAUCGAAUAUCAAGAUAGAUCGGGAGUUCUGCCACUGCAAGCCUCUAUAGCCACCAAAAACCUCUCAGGAGUCCGUUCCGGCACCCUACCGGAGGGGGAACCCAUCACCGGUGGCCAUCUUCAUCAUCCCGGUGCUAUCCAUGACGAGGAGGGAGUAGUUCACCCUCGGGGCUGAGGGUAUGUACCAGUAGCUAUGUGUUUGAUCUCUCUCACUCGUGUUCUCUCUCGUGUUCUCUCUAUGGCACGAUCUUGAUGUAUCGCGAGCUUUGCUAUUAUAGUUGGAUCUUAUGAUGUUUCUCCCCCUCUACUCUCUUGUGAUGAAUUGAGUUUCCCUCUUGAAGUUAUCUUAUCGGAUUGAGUCUUUUAUUUGAGAACACUUGAUGUAUGUCUUGCCGUGUUUAUCUGUGGUGACAAUGGGAUAUCACGUGCCACUUGAUGUAUGUUUUGGUGACCAGCUUGCGGGUUCCGCCCAUGAACCUAUGCAUAGGGGUUGGCACACGUUUUCUUGACUCUCCGAUAGAAACUUUGGGGCGCUCUUUGAAGUACUUUGUGUUGGUUGG
rnacentral:lncRNA from 1 species